rnacentral:lncRNA from 1 species
UUUUUUUUUGUGUUUCGUUUUUGCGUUUGUGCCAAGCAAACCCGUUAUGAUUAGUCUUGGGGAUGAUCGUUUGGUCAUGCUGGAAAAGACAGAAACUUUCUGCUCACGAAAAGUUUUUUUUCUUUUUGUAAGAGAUUUUGAGUUGAUUCUUUUUGCUGCUGAUUUCUACGCAAAUUCUUCAGACUAUCGUAAUGUUUCAGAAUUUUGGAAGUACCAGAGGUAUACGAAAUAUACAGAUUGCUACAGACUGGUUUGCUGUUAACAGAUUCUGUUUUUGUUGUGUUGGUUGCUUAUUUUGAUGAAACUAUGUAUAGUAUCGGGGGGUAUUAGCCAUGGAAGAUUGAAAGUACAGUAACCCAACAUCAGCACAAGUAGAAUUUAAGUUUUCUACAGUACCUAAGGAAGUGGUGGUUUCCUUUCUUGUACUAAGGUUAUCACGAGUUUCUGUUUAAGUUUCGUGUUGUGAAGUUUUCAAGUUUUGGGUGAAGUUCUUAUGGACAAAGAAAUAAAUACUGGCAAUAGCUCAAGCUUGGGUAUGCCCAAGGCACCCCAAGAGAUUCAAGGAUGCCGUAAAAUCCUAAGCUUGGGGAUGACCCGGGAAGGCAUCCCCUCUCUCGUCUUCAAUCCAUCGGUAACGUUACUUGGGGCUAUAUUUUUAUUCACCACAUGUUAUGUGUUUUUUGCUUGGAGCGUCUUGUAUCUUAGGAGUCUUUUAUUUUUUUUGUGUCACAAUCAUCCUUGCUGCACACCUAGAGAGGGAGACAUGCACACACCAUGAUUUUGUCGAGCUUCACUUAUAUCUUUUGGUAGACAAUUCAGCUCACAUGUGCUUCACUUAUAUCUUUUGAGCUAGAUACUUUUGCUCUAUGUGCUUCUCUUAUAUAUUUUAGAGCACAGCGGUGCGUGGCUUGGUAGUUGAUCUAUGCUUUGAAGGUAGUCUCAAAAGGGGUAGUUAUCCAAAGGGAUACGAAAACUUCCACCUUCAUGUGCAUUGAAUACUUAGAGAAGUUUGAUUCAUCUCAAUUUGUUUUGAGUUGUAGUUAUGGUAAUAUUGAAGUCAUGCUAGUAAGGUGUUGUGGAUCUAGAAAUACUUGUGUUGAAUUUAGUGAUUCUCGUAUCAUGCACGUAUGGUGAACCGCUAUGUGAUGAAAUCUGAGCAUGAUUAGUAUAUUGAUUGUCAUCCUUUGCGUGGCGGUCGGGAUCGCGCGAUGGUUUAUACCAACCAACCCUUCCCCUAGGAGUAUGCGAUGAAUGCUUGUUUCGAUUACUAAUAAAACUUUUGCAACAAGUAUAUGAGUUCUUCAUGACUAAUGUUGAGUCCAUGGUUUAGAUGCACUUUCUCCUUCCACCAUCACUAUCUUCUUAGUGUCGUGCAACUUUCGCCGGUGCACAAAACCCACCAUUAGCCUCCCUCAAAAUAGCCACCAUACCUACCCAUUAUGGCUUUUUCAAAGUCAUUCCGAGAUAUAUUGCCAUGCAACUACCACCAUGACAUGUACCACCACGUCUACAUUGCCAUUGCAUGAUCAUAAGAUAGCUAGCAUGAUGAUUCCAUUGAUGUCUAUGCCAUGCUAGAUCAUUGCCACGGUACACUAUCGAAGGAUUCCAUAUAGAGUCAUAGUUGCUCUAAGUUUUGAGUUGAAAGUGUGAUGAUCAUCAUUAAUGGAGCAUUGUCCCAUGUGAGGAAAUAAAAGAGGCCAAAGAAGCCCUCCAAAAAAAAGAGGCCAAAGAUCCCACCAAAUAAAAAGAAAUGAGAUAAAAAGAGAGAAGGGACAAUGCUACCAUUUUUUCCACACUUGUGCAUAUUAAGCACCAUGAUCUUCAUGAUUGAGAGUCUCUCGUUUUGUCACCACCAUAUAGCUAGUGGGAAAUUUUCAUUACAUAACUUGGCUUGUAUAUUCCAAUGAUAGGCUUCCUCAAAAUUGCCUUAGGUCUUCGUGAUCAAUCAAGUUGGAUGCACACCCACUAGUUUUCUUUAAGAGCUUUCACAUACUCGUAGCUCUAGUGUAUCAUUUGUAUGGCAAUCCCUACUCAUUCACAUUGAUAUCUAUUUAUGAGCAUCUCCACAGCUCAUUGAUAUGCCUAGUUAAUGUGACUAUCUUCUCCUUUUUUUGUCUUGCAACCUCCACUACAUUCCACACCAUCUAUAGUGCUAUAACCAUGGCUCACGCUCAUGUAUUGCGUGAGAGUUGAAAAGGUUUGAGAAAGUAAAGGUGUGAAACAAUUACUUGGCCAAUACCGGGGUUGUGCAUGAUUUAAAUUCGUUGUGCAAUGAUGAUAGAGCAUAGCCAGACUAUAUGCUUUUGUUGGGAUAACUUUUUUUUGGCCUUGUUAUUUUGAAAGUUCAUGAUUACCUUGCUAGUGUGCUUGAAUUAUUAUUGUUUCCACGUCAAUAGCAAACUAUUGUUUUGAAUCUAAUGGAUCUGAACAUUCACAUCACAUAAGAGGAAUUACAAAGGACACCUAUGCUAGGUAGCAUGAAAGCAUCAAAAAUUCAUUCUUAUCACUUCCCUACUCGAGGACGAGCAGGUGUUAAGCUUGGGGAUGCUUGAUAUGUCACAAACGUAUCUAUAAUUUUUGAUGGUUUCACGCUGUUAUCUUGUCUUCUUUGGUUUUUUAUGUACCUUUUAUAUCUUUUUUGGGCCUAGCUUAUUAAUUCAGUGCCAAGUGUCAGUUCCUGUUUUUCCGUGUUUUUGACUCUUUUCAGAUCUGAUUUUGGAACGGAGUCCAAACGGAAUAAAAACCCCGAAAUGAUUUUUUUCCGGAACACAAGAAGACCAGGGGGCUUUUGGGCCAAGCCAGGUGGUCUCUAGGGAGCCCACAAGCCCCCACUCCGCCACCAGGGGGAGGCGGCGGUGGGCAGGCUUGUGGCCUCCCUGGCCGCCCCCUGACCUAGGUCUUUGGCCUAUAAAUUCCCAAAUAUUCCGCAUAAAAUCAGGGGAGCGUCGAAAAUACUUUUCCGCCGUCGCAAGCUUCCGUUUCCGCGAGAUCUCAUCUGGAGACCCUUCCCGGUGCCCUGCCGGAGGGGACUUUGGAGUUGGAGGGCUUCUUCAUCAUCAUCAUCGCCCCUCCAAUGACUCGUGAGUAGUUCACUUCAGACCUACGGGUCCGUAGUUAGUAGCUAGAUGGCUUNNNNNNNNNNNNNNNNNNNNNNNNNNNNNNNNNNNNNNNNNNNNNNNNNNNNNNNNNNNNNNNNNNNNNNNNNNNNNNNNNNNNNNNNNNNNNNNNNNNNNNNNNNNNNNNNNNNNNNNNNNNNNNNNNNNNNNNNNNNNNNNNNNNNNNNNNNNNNNNNNNNNNNNNNNNNNNNNNNNNNNNNNNNNCCGAUGUAAUCUUCUUUGGCGGUGUGUUUGUCGAGAUCCGAUGAAUUGUGGAUUUGUGAUCAGAUUAUCUAUGAUAUAUAUUUGAGUCUUUGCUGAUUUCUUAUAUGCAUGAUUUGAUAUCCUUGUGAGUCUCUCCGAGUCUUGGGUUUUGUUUGGCCAACUAGAUCUAUGAUUCUUGCAAUGGGAGAAGUGCUUGGUUUUGUGUUCUACCAUGUGGUGACCUUGCCCAGUGACAGUAGGGGCAGCAAGGCACACAUCAAGUAGUUGCCAUCAAGGGUAAAAAGAUGGGUUUUUUAUCAUUGGUUUGAGAUUAUCCCUCUACAUCAUGUCAUCUUGCUUAAGGCGUUACUCUGUUCUUAUGGACUUAAUACACUAGAUGCAUGCUGGAUAGUGGUUGACGUGUGGAGUAAUAGUAGUAGAUGCAGAAAGUAUCGAUCUACUUGUUUUGGACGUGAUGCCUAUAGAUAUAAUCAUUGCAUAGAUAUCGUCACGACUUUGCGCGGUUCUAUCAAUUGCUCAACAGUAAUUUGUUCACCCAUCGUCUACUUGCUUUCAUGAGAGAAGCCACUAGUAAACACUACGCCCCCCGGGUCUAUUCACAUCCAUCGUUUACACCUCCGCUUUUACUUUGCUUUGUUACUUUGUUGCUUUCAGUUCUCACUUGGCAAACAAUCUAUAAGGGAUUGACAACCCCUUCAUAGCGUUGGGAGCAAGCUUUUGUGUUUGUGCAGGAUCUUGUGAUACUCCUCCACCGGAUUGAUACCUUGGUUCUCAAACUGAGGGAAAUACUUACCGUCACUGUGCUACAUCACCCUUUCCACUUCAAGGGGACACCAACGCAAGGCUCCAAGGCCACGGGGGAAAUCCUUUGCAUACUUGCCUAGGAAGUCCCUUAAGGCGUAGCCGCAGCUGAAGGAUUCCUCGUGACGUCGACACACCUGUUUCUGGCGCCAUUGGAAGGACUUUUGUGCAUUAGCAUAGCUGACAUCAUACGUCUCAAACGUAUUUAUAAUUUUUGAUGGUUUCAUGCUUUAUCUUGUCAACUUCGGAUGUUUUAUAUACCUUUUAUAUCUUUUUUGGGACUAACUUAUUAAUUCAGUGCCAAGUGUCAGUUCCUGAUUUCUGUGUUUUUGACUCUUUUCAGAUCUGAUUUUGGAACGGAGUCCAAACGGAAUAAAAUCCCCGAAAUGAAUUUUUCCAGAACAGAAGAAGAUCGGGGGACUUGAGGGCAAAGGUAGGAGGCCCACACGGGGGCCACAAGCCCUGUAGUCGCGGCCAGGGGGGCCGCGGCUAUCAGGCUUGUGGCCCCCCUGGAGCUCCCCUGCCCUAGCUCUUUGGCCUAUAUAUUCCCUAAAAUCCCAGAAAAAUAAGGCGUCCACGAAACCACUUUUCCGCCGCCGCAAGCUUCCGUUUCCACGAGAUCUCAUCUGGAGACCCUUCCCGGUGCCCUGCCGGAGGGGACUUUAGAGCUGGAGGGCUUCUACAUCAACAUCAUUGCCUGUCCAAUGACUCGUGAGUAGUCUACUUCAGACCUACGGGUCCGUAGUUAGUAGCUAGAUGGCUUCUUCUCUCUCUUUUGGAUCUUCAAUACAAAGUUCUCCAUGAUCUUCAUGGAGAUCUAUCCGAUGUAAUCCUCUUUGGUGGUGUGUUUGUCGAGAUCCGAUGAAUUGUGGAUUUGUGAUAAGAUUAUCUAUGAAUUAUAUUUGAGUCUUUGCUGAUUUCUUAUAUGCAUGAUUUGAUAUCCUUGUAAGUCUCUUCGAGCCUUGGGUUUUGUGUGGCCAACUAGAUCUAUGAUUCUUGCAAUGGGAGAAGUGCUUGGUUUUGGGUUCAUACCAUGCGGUGACCUUUCCCAGUGACACAAGGGGCAGCAAGGCACGCAUCAUGUUGUUGCCAUGAAGGGUAACAAGAUGGGCUUUCAUCAUAGAUUUGAGAUUGUCCAUCUACAUCAUGUCAUCUUGCUUAAGGCGUUACUCUGUUCUUAUGAACUCAAUACACUAGAUGCAUGCUGGAUAGCGGUCGACGUGUGGAGUAAUAGUAGUAGACGCAGAAAAUAUCGGUCUACUUGUUUUGGACAUGAUGCUUAUAUGUAUGAUAAUUGCCAUAGAUUACGUCAUGACUUUGCGUGGUUCUAUCAAUUGCUCGACAGUAAUUCCUUCACCCACCGUCUACUUACUUUCAUGAGAGAAGCCACUAGUGAACACUACGACCCCCGGAUCUACUCACAAUUAUCAUCUCCGCUUUUACUUUUACUUUGCUUUGUUUACUUUUUGCUUUCAGUUCUCACUUUGCAAAUAAUCUAUAAGGGAUUGACAACCCCUUCAUAGCGUUGGGUGCAAGCUCUUUGUGUUUGUGCAGGUACUUGUGACUUGACGCGAUCCUCCUACUGGAUUGAUACCUUGGUUCUCAAACUUUGGGAAAUACUUACCGCCGCUGUGCUACAUCACCCUUUCCUCUUCAAGGGAACACCAACGCAAGGCUCCAAGGCCGCGGGGGAAUCCUUUGCAUACUUGCCAAGGAAAUCCCUAUAGGCGUAGCCUGCAGCAGAAGGAUUUAUGGCACCGUUGCCGAGGAGAGAUCAAGUCAAGAUCUAUCCAAGUAAGUGUCACAAACUCAUCUCUUGCAUUUACCCUUUUUGCUAGUUACCUCUCGUUUUCCUCUCCCCCACUUCACAUUUGCCGUUUUCAUUUGCCUUUCUCCUUUACCGUUUUCAUUUGCCUUUUUCCUUUCUCCUUUGCCGUUCACUUUUGUCUUUUGCCUUCUUUUUCCGCCCGUUUUUCUCGCUUGCUCUUGGGCUUGUUCGUGAGAGACCUUUCAUCAUGGCCAAACCAAAUUAUUUCAGAAGGUUGGAAGAGAUUGAAACUGGUGUCAAAGGUUUCAUGUCUUCUCAGUUUGACCAAAAUAGUUACUUCCGUAGGGAAUUAAAAGAGCAAAAUUCUUUUAUGGCCUGUUUGAAUAAAGAAGUUGAUGAUAUGGCCAAAGAAUUCCUUGCACUAAAUUCUCAGCUUGCUCAUCUUGAAAAAUUGGUGGGCCAAAUUUCUGACAAGCAAGCUACCUUAGUCAAUAAGAUGGCAGCUAAACCUGAAAUUUGUGAUGCAAAUCACGAAGAUCUUAAAGUCCUUGGUGUGACUCCUCUUGAAUCUUUGUUUUCGCAUGUCAAACCUAUUGAUGAAGGGGCUGGAUAUGAAUCCACUUUGGUUGAAAAAUGCCCCUAUGAUUCGGAGUCCACCUAUCUUGAUGAUAAAGGUGUGGAGAGUGGAGUAGAAGAAAUCAAAAUAUUGGGUAGUAAUGAAACUCCCACUUUGGAUUUCAAGGGAUUCAAUUAUGAUAGUUGCUCCUUGUUUGAAUGCAUUUCCUUGAUGCAAUCCAUUGCAAACUCUCCACAUGCUUAUAGCCAAAGCAAAGCCUUUACCGCUCAUAUCGUAGAUGCUAUGAUGAAAUCUCUUGAAGAGAAACUCGAAUUAGAAGUCUCUGUACCUAGAAAACUUCACGAUGAGUGGGAACCUUACUAUCAAAAUCAAAAUCAAAAACUAUGAAUGCAAUGCUUUGUGUGAUUUGGGUGCUAGUGUUUCCGCGAUUCCAAAGUCUUUAUGUGAUAUUCUUGGUUUUCAUGAGAUUGAAGAGUGUUCUCUUAAUUUGCAUCUUGCGGAUUCUACUAUCAAGAAACCCAUGGGAAGGAUCAACGAUGUUCUUAUUGUUGCAAAUAAGAACUAUGUACCCGUGGAUUUCAUUGUACUUGACAUAGAUUGCAAUCCUUCAUGUCCCAUUAUUCUUGGUAGACCUUUCCUAAGGACUAUUGGUGCUAUCAUCGAUAUGAAGGAAGGGAAUAUUAGAUUUCAAUUUGCUCUAAAUAAGGGCAUGGAGCAUUUUCCUAGAAAGAAAAUAAGAUUGCCUUAUGAAUCUAUGAUGAGGGCUACUUAUGGUUUGAGCACCAAAGAUGACUAUACGUGAUUCCAUCACCUUAUGCCUAGCUAAGGGCGUUAAACAAUAGCGCUUGUUGGGAGGCAACCCAACGAAUCUAUCCUUUUUCUUUCUGUUUUGUGUUUUCCACACUUUCACAAUUCUGUUAUGAUUGUGUCUUUUAUGUUUCUUUUGCGUUUGUGCCAAGUAAAACCGUUAUGAUUAGUCUUGGGGAUGAUCGUUUGAUCAUGCUGGAAAAGACAGAAACUUUCUGCUCACGAAAGUAAUUUUCAUUUUUUUUUCUGUGAGAGAUUUUGAGUUGAUUCUUUUUGUUGUUGAUUUCUAUGCAAAUUCUUUAGACUAUCGUAAUUUGUGAGAAUUUUUGAAGUACCAGAAGUAUAUGAAGUAUACAGAUUGCUACAGACUGGUCUGCUGUUAACAGAUUCUAUUUUUGUUGAGUUGGUUGCUUAUUUUGAUGAAACUAUGGAUAGUAUCGGGGGGGGGGGGUAUUAGCCAUUGAAGAUUGAAAAUACAGUAACCCAACAUCAACAUAAGUAGAAUUUAAGUUUGCUACGGUACCUAAGGAAGUGGUGAUUUGCUUUCUUAUACCAAUGAUAUCACGAGUUUCUGUUUAAGUUUCGUGUUGUGAAGUUUUCAAGUUUUGGGUGAAGUUCUUUUGGACAAAAAGAUAAAGAGUGGCAAGAGCUCAAGCUUGGGGAUGCCCAAGGCACCCCAAGUUGAUUCAAGGAUGUCGAAAAAGGCUAAGCUUGGGGAUGCCCCGGGAAGGCAUCCCCUCUUUCAUCUUCAAUCCAUCGGUAACAUUACUUGGGGCUAUAUUUUUAUUCACCACAUGUUAUGUGUUUUGUUUGGAGCGUCUUGUAUCAUAGGAGUCUUUUAUUUUUUUUGUGUCACAAUCUUCCUUGCUGCACACCUGGAGAGAGAGACAUGCACUCACCGUGAUUGUGUCGAGCUUCACUUAUAUCCUUUGGUUUGGCAAUUCAGCUCACAUGUGUUUCACUUAUAUCUUUUGAGCUAGUUGAUUUUUCUCUGUGUGUUUCACUUCUAUAUUUUAGUGCAGGGAAGUGCGUGGCGUGGUAGUUCAUCUAUGCUAUGAAAGUAGUCUCAAAAGGGGUAGUUAUCCAAAGGGAUAUGAAAACUUCCACCUUCAUGUGCAUUGAGUAGUUAGAAAAGUUUGAUUCAUCUCAAUUAGUUUUGAGUUGUGGUUGUGGUGAUAUUGAAGUUAUACUAGUAAGGUGUUGUGGAUCUAGAAAUACUUGUGUUGAAGUUAGUGAUUCCCGUAGCAUGCACGUAUGGUGUACCGCUAUGUGAUGAAGUCUGAGCAUGAUUAGUUUAUUGAUUGCCAUCCUUUGUGUAGCGGUCGGGAUCGCGCGAUGGUUUAUACCUACCAACCCUUCCCCUAGGAGUAUCCGUUGAAUGCUUUGUUUUGAUUACUACUAAAACUUUUGCGACAAGUAUAUGAGUUCUUCAUGACUAAUGUUGAGUCCAUGGUUUAGAUGCACUUUCACCUUCCACCAUCACUAUCUUCUUUAGUGCCGUGCAACUUUCGCCGGUGCAUAAAACCACCAUUAGCCUCCCUCAAAACAGCCACCAUACCUACCUACUAUGGCUUUUUCAAAGCCAUUCCGAGAUAUAUUGCCAUGCAACUACCACCAUGACAUGUGCCACAGCUUCUACAUUGCCAUUGCUUGAUCAUAACAUAGCUAGCAUGAUGUUUCCAUUGAUGUCUAUGCCAUGCUAGAUCAUUGUCACGAUAUACUACCGAAGGCAUUCCAUAUAGAGUCAUCAUUGCUCUAAGUUUUGAGUUGUAAGUGUGAUGAUCAUCAUUGAUGGAGCAUUGUCCCAUGUGAGGAAAUAAAAGAGGCCAGCAAAGUCCAUUUACAAAAAAAGAGGCCAAAGAUGCCCACAAAAAAAAGAGGCCAAAGAGGCCACCAAAAAAAUGAGAGAAAAAGAGAGAAGGGACAAUGCUACUAUCUUUCCACACUUGUGCUUAUUAAGCACCAUGAUCUUCAUGAUUGAGAGUCUCUCGUUUUGUCACCACCAUAUAGCUAUUGGGAAAUUUUCAUUAUAUAACUUGGCUUGUAUAUUCCAAUGAUGGGUUUCCUCAAAAUUGCCUUAGGUCCCCUGGAGCUCCCCUGCCCUAGCUCUUUGGCCUAUAUAUUCCCUAAAAUCCCAGAAAAAAUAAGGGCGUCCACGAAACCACUUUUCCUCCGCCGCAAGCUUCCGUUUCCACGAGAUCUUAUCUAGAGACCCCUCCCAGUGCCUUGUCGGAGGGGACUUUGGAGCUGGAGGGCUUCUACAUCAACAUCAUUGCCUCUCCAAUGACUCGUGAGUAGUCUACUUCAGACCUACGGGUCCGUAGUUAGUAGCUAGAUGGCUUCUUCUCUCUCUUGGAUCUUCAAUAUAAAGUUCUCCAUGAUCUUCAUGGAGAUCUAUCCGAUGUAAUCCUCUUUGGCGGUGUGUUUGUUGAGAUCCGAUGAAUUGUGGAUUUGUGAUCAGAUUAUCUAUGAAUUAUAUUUGAGUCUUUGCUAAUUUCUUAUAUGCAUGAUUUGAUAUCCUUGUAAGUCUCUCCGAGUCUUGGGUUUUGUUUGGCCAACUAGAUCUAUGAUUCUUGCAAUGGGAGAAGUGCUUGGUUUUGGGUUCAUACUGUGCGGUGACCUUUCCCAAUGACAGAAGGGGCAGCAAGGCACGCAUCGUGUUUUUGCCAUCAAGGGUAACAAGAUGGGUUUUCAUCAUAGAUUUGAGAUUGUCCAUCUACAUCAUGUCAUCUUGCUUAAGGCGUUACUCUGUUCUUAUGAACUCAAUACACUAAAUGCAUGCUGGAUAGCGGUCGACGUGUGGAGUAAUAGUAGUAGACGCAGAAAGUAUCGGUCUACUUGUUUUGGACGUGAUGCCUAUAUGUAUGAUCAUUGCCAUAGAUAACGUCAUGACUUUGCGCGGUGCUAUCAAUUGCUCGACAGUAACUCGUUCACCCACCGUCUACUUCUUUUCAUGAGAGAAUCUACUAGUGAACACUACGGCCCCCGGGUCUACUCACAAUUAUCAUCUCCACUUUUACUUUUACUUUGCUUUGUUUACUUUUUGCUUUCAGUUCUCACUUUGCAAACAAUCUAUAAGGGAUUGACAACCCCUUCAUAGCGUUGGGUGCAAGCUCUUUGUGUUUGUGCAGGUACUUGUGACUUGACGCGAUCCUCCUACUGGAUUGAUACCUUGGUUCUCAAACUGAGGGAAAUACUUACCGCCGCUAUGCUACAUCACCCUUUCCUCUUCAAGGGAACACCAACGCAAGGCUCCUAGGCCGCCGGGGAAUCCUUUGCAUACUUGCCAAGGAAAUCCCUAUAGCCGUAGCCAGCAGCACUGGACAAGCCUCCCCCAAGCUUGUGGGAUAUUCUCUUCUUCAACUUGCACAAAGUUAUAUAUAUCCUGCAAGGCAGCUUGUUUCUUAUGGGAAGAAAAAAUUUCUGAGAGAAGUAGUAGAUCAUAUCCUGGGGACUACGCACACAACAAGGAGCAAGAGAAGUGAACCAAGUCUUAGCAUCAUCCUUUAGCAAGAAAGGAAACAGCUUAAGGAUAUAGUAGUGGAGGAUGUUUUCCUCACUCGUGAAUAGGGUGUCUAUAUCGUGCAACUUAGUAAGAUGUGCUACAACCAUUUCAGACUCAUAACCAUGAAAAGGAUCAGACUCGACCAAAGUGAUUAACUCAGGAUCGAAAGAGAAUUCAUAAUCGUUAUUGGUCACAAAGAUGGGUGAAGUAGCAAACUUAGGAUCGCAUUUCAUCCUAGAAUUCAGAGAUUUUUCUUUCCACUUGCGCAAUAAAUUCUCAAGAUCAUAGCUAUCCUUACAAGCAAGAAAGUCCUCAGCUACCUCUCCCUCCAUAACAUAACCCUCAGGUAUAUCAGGCAAUUCAUAUCUAGGAGAGCUAGUUCUAACAGGUGAAACAACAGGUUCUACUUCAAUAAUUUCGGCAGAAAAUAGUCUUGAUAACCCACAAGUAUAGGGGAUCGCAAUAGUUUUUGAGGGUAGAGUAUUCAACCCAAAUUUGUUGAUUCGACACAAGGGGAAGCAAACCAAUAUUCUCGAGUAUUAGCGGUUGAGUUGUCAAUUCAACCACACCUGAAAGACUUAGUAUCUGCAGCAAAGUUUCAGUAGCAAAGUAGCGUGAUAGCAAAGGUAGCAAUGGUAACAGUAGCAGCAGUGAUAGCAGUAGCGGCAAAGUAACAUAGCAAGGACCAGUAGGAAAAGACUCGUAGGCAUUGGAUNNNNNNNNNNNNNNNNNNNNNNNNNNNNNNNNNNNNNNNNNNNNNNNNNNNNNNNNNNNNNNNNNNNNNNNNNNNNNNNNNNNNNNNNNNNNNNNNNNNNNNNNNNNNNNNNNNNNNNNNNNNNNNNNNNNNNNNNNNNNNNNNNNNNNNNNNNNNNNNNNNNNNNNNNNNNNNNNNNNNNNNNNNNNNNNNNNNNNGGGAGAUAUGUAACUAGCUCCAGUUCGUCAAUGUAAUGUAGGCAUGCAUUCCGUAUAUAGUCAUACGUGCUUAUGGAAAAGAACUUGCAUGACAUCUAUUGUCCAUCCCUCCCGUGGCAGCGGGGUCCUAAUGGAAACUACGGGAUAUUAAGGUUCUCCUUAUAAUAGAGAACCAGAACAAAGCAUUAGCACUUAGUGAAUACAUGAACUCCUCAUACUAUGGUCAUCUCCGGGAGUGGUUCCGGCUAUUGUCACUCCGGGGUUGCCGGGUCAUAACCCAUAGUAGGUGACUACANNNNNNNNNNNNNNNNNNNNNNNNNNNNNNNNNNNNNNNNNNNNNNNNNNNNNNNNNNNNNNNNNNNNNNNNNNNNNNNNNNNNNNNNNNNNNNNNNNNNNNNNNNNNNNNNNNNNNNNNNNNNNNNNNNNNNNNNNNNNNNNNNNNNNNNNNNNNNNNNNNNNNNNNNNNNNNNNNNNNNNNNNNNNNNNNNNNNNNNNNNNNNNNNNNNNNNNNNNNNNNNNNNNNNNNNNNNNNNNNNNNNNNNNNNNNNNNNNNNNNNNNNNNNNNNNNNNNNNNNNNNNNNNNNNNNNNNNNNNNNNNNNNNNNNNNNNNNNNNNNNNNNNNNNNNNNNNNNNNNNNNNNNNNNNNNNNNNNNNNNNNNNNNNNNNNNNNNNNNNNNNNNNNNNNNNNNNNNNNNNNNNNNNNNNNNNNNNNNNNNNNNNNNNNNNNNNNNNNNNNNNNNNNNNNNNNNNNNNNNNNNNNNNNNNNNNNNNNNNNNNNNNNNNNNNNNNNNNNNNNNNNNNNNNNNNNNNNNNNGGCGGCGGCUCCGUAUCAGAAAACGCGAUGAACUCUUCUCUCUGAUUUUUUUCCGGGCGAGAGAGAAUAUAUAGAGCUGGAAUUGGAGGCGGCGGAGCCCCGAGGGGCUCACAAGCCUGUCAGGCGUGGCCAGGGGGGCGCGCCUCCUGGGCUUGUGGGCUCCUCGCUCUAUCCCUCCAGGUAAUUCUUGCACCGGUAUUUUUUAUAUAUUCCAUAAAAAAUCCUCAUAAAUUUCGAGGUCAUUCCGAGAACUUUUAUUUCUGCGCAAAAACAACACCAUGGCAAUUCUGCUGAAAACAGCGCCAGUCCGGGUUAGUUCCAUUCAAAUCAUGCAAACUAGAGUCCAAAACACGGGAAAAAGAGUUUGGAAAAGUAGAUACGAUGGAGACGUAUCAGUUAUCAUAAUGCAACAAAACUCGCUUGUAUCGAGCUAAAAAUUAAGUCGAGUGUUGAUCUGUCAAACUGAAUAAUCUUGACCCAAGAAUAGAAUCACCCAUUUAGGUCUUAUCUCUACCUCUCAGGGAGGAAAAAAUGGUACUCUAUCUAUUCUUUUAAUUUCCGGUUGUUAGUUGUGCCCGGUACGGUUCUCGAUCUCUAUUACUGUGGGUAAACCGAGGUUGGUCUCCAUCCCAUCGAGUGGGAUACUACCUUCUAGAUCCAUAGAUGGACCUGUUGUGACAUGUUCUGUUGUCCAAGUCGUGUUGUAGAUCAUGUCUGCCCCUGGUUUGCACAUGUUCCUUUCCUUUCCUGCGGAGAGGCUUGGGUCUAUACUCGGGUUCUCUAGUCGCUCUAUCGCGCCCUCGGGGUGGGCGAUCGGGAUGAUCGUACUAUGUGUGCCUGGGGGGCCCGGGCUCUGGGGCCUCCUCAUCAAACUGAGGUAGCAGGCGCCAGCGUGGGUAGCUUUGGUUUUGAUUCAGCAACUCGGUGCCAUAUCCUUCUUCAGCUAUGCUUACUUUCGUCCAUCUAUUGUUGAUGGUAUCUUGUUCGGCUUGGAGCCGUUGUUGCUUUGCUUUUAUGUUGCGGGCGGUAGAUAUGAGCUAACUCCUGAAGCAUUCGUGACCCUCAAGGUCCUUAGGAACUAUGAAGUCUUCGGCCUCUAAGUUGUCUUACGCGUCAACAAGGGGAGGUAGUUGUCGUCAUCUGAAUCGUCGGGAUCAUCAGGAUCGUGCCGGCCCUCGGGCUUGUUCAGGUCCUCCGGUGGCUGCUCGGAGCUCCGAGGUUGCCGCGGUCCUCCGGGGUUAUAUUUUCCCCGGUGCGCUGUUUAGUGUCGGUGUCAAAACCGGCGGAUCUCGGGUAGGGGGUCCCGAACUGUGGUCCUUGGAUCGAUGGGUUGCACGAGACAAAGGGGAGAAUGUUUUACCUAGGUUUGGGCCCUCUUGAGGAGGUAAAACCCUACAUCCUGUUUAAUUAUAUUGAUGGAGUAUGAGGAUUACAGAGUUGAUCUAUCUCGAGAUUGUAUGAGCUAAACCCUAGAUGAAUCAAGUUGGCUAUGCGGUUGGAACCCUCUCGCUUAUAUAGACACCACGGAUCCCUAGGGUUACAACCGACCUUUAGUGGGGGGUAGAGGUGCUGGCUUACACUACUAACCUUGGGCGAUACUCCAAUCUUCGGAGCUUGCGUUCUUGAGUACGAAGUCGUCAUGUAGUAUGAUCUUUGAUAAUGCGGCCCAUGUGGUUGACGUGUAAAAUAUGGGCCGGCCAUCCGAGGACCCCUUAGUACGGGACUCCCUCAGUAGCCCUCGAAAUUGCAUCCAAUGCUGAUGUACUUAGUCUUCGGCAGUUUCUUGCGUCCAGAGUGAUCGGCUUGCGAGGAGAGUACCUCCAUCUCCCCUUAUUUGUGAAAUGACGAUCUAGUCGUUUGAUCUGAUCUCGAUUCCUGAAGCAUCAUGGGGCCCACGGCCUCCAAGCUUUCCGCUCAAGAAUCGAUAACAACACUCGAUCCCUAUGCGCAUUAAUGAAGAUAAGCAAUCUAGCAGUCUCACUCGGACCAGCCUCUUGUAACCACGAGGGAAAAUACCAUUUAUAAAUAGAUCAAAUCUGUCCUUGGGCAACCACCAACCCUUAGGCACCACCAAGAUAAAUCCCUAGUGUUCCAUCACCGAGAGCUAUGGCGGGUUCUUCCUCGCGUCCCUUUGGCCGUCUCUCGGGAGAUUGGGCAAGAAGUUUCGUCUCCUUGCUCCAAUUGUGGAACCUUGAAGUACAAGGAUAUCUCCCCUCGUCGGAUCUCGCACCCACCCGUGUUGGACUAACCUCCGCCAAUGGUGAGGCCCUCGCACAGAAUUUCCCUUCACCCUCGAUCUGCUUUGUUUCCUUCCUGUUGUGGGGUAUGGGCUUUCCAGUCCACCCCUUCCUGAGGGGUUUACUGGAGUUCCACGGGCUUGAGCUCCACAACCAUACCCCUGGCUCAAUCCUUCACGUCUCAAGCUUUGUGGCCCUGUGUGAGAUGUUCUUCGGCUGCGAGCCCCACUUCGACCUAUGAAGAAAGUACUUCUGCCUCAUUCCCAAAACUAGGGAAACAUAAAUUCGGGAAGUGGGUGGAUGCGAAGUGUGGCGUAUAGCCGGAACCGGAUAUAUGAUCGGGACUCCAGAAAAGGAAACCAACGAGUGGUCUUCGGAAUGGUUUUAUAUUGAAGAUAUUCCCUUUUUCGACCCGGUUCGGAGCAUCCAGGACAAAGCCUUCUACUCCAAAGUCUAAGAAGCCAGUAGCUCCCAAGAAGACUACUAGGGAUAUACCUGCAGCACAGAAGAACAACCGAACAAGGGCUCUGCAUCGAGAGAUGUUGCUACAGAGGAGGAAGAAGAUGUUUCUGUGCUGAGGAAGUUGAGAGCUCAUUUGCCACUAUGCAAUGAUCCUCAUCCAGUUGCUGAGGACAUGAAGAUGAGAAGGGAUCAUGGUCUGAGACAGUGGAGAACUAUACAUCCCUAUGCUGUUAGGAGGAGAACAGUUGUUGAUCCUCAUCUUCAUGCCAAGGAGCAACAAGAUUUCUAUGAGACAGUGAGAUAUAUGUAGACUAGUAUUACAUCAAGGAACAUGAGGAUUUUUUUUGAAGAAAAACUGUAAGGUAAACCCCCCACAGCGAGUUUUUUAAAAUAAUAAGAACCCAAAUUCGCGCUCGUGGGGACCUCAACCUGGGUGGCUGGGUUGUACAUCCAUUCCACUAGCCAAGUGAGCUCGGCUCACUUCCUGAACAUGAGGAUUUCUUCCCUCAUAUGAGAUAGAACUUCAGGGCAAUUGACAUUGAAGAUUUUAUUGGCAAAGAGAUGACUGCCUGGAAUGAUGAGAUGAUCAUGCAAUUCUACUCCAUUGCACAUUUUUGUCUAGAUGGUAGGAUUGUAUGGAUGACUGAAGGUCGCACGUAUGAAUCAAAUGUGGAGGAGCGGGCUAUGAUCAUUGGUGUUCCUAAAGCCUAAGAGGGUGACUUGGAUGCGUACUCUGAGCCAAAAAUUAAUCACAACACUAUGGCUAACAUGUACAAUCCAGUGCCCCACCAGUAUGUGAGAACUCACAAGUUUGGCUUCAUCUACUUUCUGCAAGUUGGGAUACCCACCAACACCAUUAUGAGGUACACCCUAAUGCCCAAGUCAGGAGAUGAGAAGAUGAUCAUAGGGUAUUCCAUCAAUAUGUUGCACCACGUUGAUUCUCACACAAAGAUUAGAGUGAUGGAUCUGAUAGUUGAGACAGUCACGAGGACAGUUGCCGAUCAGAAGAGAUCAUGUGCAUAUGCUCCGUAAAUUCUGUUAGAAAUAUGCCCUAGAGGCAAUAAUAAAAUAGUUAUUAUUAUAUUUCCUAUUUCAAGAUAAUCGUUUAUUAUCCAUGCUAUAAGUGUAUUGAAUGGAAACAUAAAUGCAUGUGUGGAUAUAUAGACAAAACUAUGUCCCUAGUGAGUCUCUAGUUGACUAGCAUGUUGAUCAAGGAUGGUUAAGGUUUCCUAGCCAUAGACAAGUGUUGUCACUUGAUGGCAGGAUCACAUCAUUAGGAGAAUGAUGUGAUGGACAAGACCCAAACUAUAAAUGUAGCAUAUGAUUUUGUCAUUUUGUUGCUAUUGUUUUCUGCAUGUCAAGUAUUCAUUCCUAUGAACAUGAGAUCAUGUAACUCACAAACACCAGAGGAAUACCUUGUGUGUAUCAAACAUCGCAACGUUACUAGGUGACUAUAAAGGUACUCUACAUGCAUGUCCUAAGGUGUCCGUUGAGUUAGCAUGGAUCAAGACUGGGAUUUGUCACUCGGUGUGACGGAGAGUUAGUCACGGGAUGUUGUAUUACGGAACGAGUAAAGAGACUUGCCGGUAACGAUAUUGAAAUAGGUAUGGAGAUACCGACGAUCGAAUCUUGGGCAAGUAACAUACCGAAGGACAAAGGGAAUGGUAUACGGGAUUAUAUGAAUCCUUGAUAUAGAGGUUCAACCGAUAAGAUCUUUGUAGAAUAUGUAGGAUCCAAUAUGGACAUCCAGGUCCCGCUAUUGGAUAUUGACUGGAGAGUGUCUCAGGUCAUGUCUACAUAGUUCUCGAACCCGCAGGGUCUGCACACUUAAGGUUCGGUGACGUUUCGGUAUAGUUGAGUUGUAGGUGAUGGUUUCCGAAGUUUUGUUCGGAGUCCUGGACUAGAUCCCGGACGUGAUGAGGAGUUCUGGAAUGGUCUGGAAACGAAGAUUGAUAUAUAGGAAGUUGGUGUUUGGAUUCCGGAAGGAUUUCGGGCAUUACCGGAAGUGUACCGGGAGUGACGAAUGGGUACCGGGGGUCCACCAGGUGGGCCCACCACUCCCCAAGGGGGCCACGUGGACUUGAUGGUGGCACAACAGCCCUUGAUGGGCUCACUAGUCAACCAAAGAAAUACCAUGAGGAAAAAUAUGGAAAAUCCAAAAGAGGUGGAGAACUUGGGGAGGAGUCCUAAUCCAAGUAGGAUUGGAGGAGGACUCCUCCUCUCCUAGUUCGGCCGAGCCCAAGGGAGGCUCCCUUGGUGCGCAAGCUUACCCCCUCCUUCUUCCUAUAUAUAUUAGAGGUUUGAGGGUUUUUGAGACACAAUAUUCAGCCACGUGCUACCCUCUCCUCUAGUUCGCAGUUCUUCCUCUAGAUCGGAUUUCUGCGGUGCUUAGGCGAGGCCCUGCACGAAUAGAUCACCACCAUCACCGGCGCACCGUCACACUGCCAGAGAACUCAUCUACUUCCCCGUCUCUCUUGCUAUAUCAAGAAGACGGAGAUCGUCAUCGAGCUGUACGUGUGCUGAACGCGGAGGUGUCGUCCGUUCGGUGCUAGAUCGGGACGAAUCGUGGGACGGCGGCGAUUUGGAUGGCAAAGACAUUCCACUACAUCAACUGCGUUUCUUAAUGCUUCCCUCUUAGCGAUCUACAAGGGUAUGUGGAUCCGAACUCCCUCUCGUAGAUGAUCAGCAGCAUGAUGUUGGGGAACGUUGCAUGGGAAACAAAAAAAUUCCUACGCACACGAAGACUUAUCAUGGUGAUGAUCAUCUACGAGAGGGAGAUCGGAUCCACAUACCCUUGUGGAUCGCUAAGCGGAAGCGUUAAUAAACGCGGUUGAUGUAGUGGUACGUCUUCACGAUACUUCCCAUGAAUCGUCCCACGAUCCGUCCCACGAACCGCCUCACAAUCCAUCCCAAUCAAGUGCCGAACAGACGACACCUCCGCGUUCCGCACACGUAUAGCUCGAUGACGAUCUGCACCUUCUUGAUCCAGAAAGAGAGACAGGGAUGUAGAUGAGUUCCCCAGAAGCGUGAUAGCGCUCCGGUGGUGGUGGUGAUCUAUUCCUGCACGGCUCCGCCCGAGCUACGCAGAAAACCGAUAAAGAGGAAGAACUACAAGUAGAGAUUUAGGGUUGCACGUGGAAAAGUUGUGUCUGAAACAGCCCUAAACCUCUAGUAUAUGUAGGAGGAGGGAGGGGGAAGGCCUUGCGCCACAAGGGAGGAGCCCUUGGGUCGGCCGAAGUGGAGGAGGGAGGCGUCCUCCUCAAAUCCCACCUCUUUUGGAUUUUCCACUUUUUCCUCAUGGGCUUUCCUUGGAUGACUUUGUCAGCUCAUUGUGCCUUAUUGCGCAUCCAAUAAACCCACGUGGACACCUUGUGGCGUGAUGGGCCCACCCAGUGGGCCCCCGGAACCCAUUCGUCACUCCGAGUACACUGACGGCAAUGCCCAAAAACCAUCCGGAAUCCAAAUACCAACUUCCUAUAUAUUGUGACAGCCCGAUACCGACGCCCCAGAAGAUUCCCCUUUAUUUUCGUUUCCGUCGUGUGAUUAUAUUUCGUUCGUUGCAUCAUCAUUUAGUUUGCAUCAUCGCAUCAUGCAUGGCAUCUUGCAUCGUCUGUUGCGUGUGGUGUUUUGAGUGUGUGUGCUUCAAGUGCGAUAGUAACUCCUCUUCUCUCCCCUCUUGUUUAAUUUUUGUGGUUUUGCUAAAGUUUAUGUUUUAACCCCUAUUUAAAAAAGGUUUGUCUUCUUUUAAAAAAUCCUUUUAUUAAAAGUGGGGGCAACCCCUUGGGUUUUGUUUAUUUUUUUCUUUUGUUUAUUUUCAAAACUAGAGUCUCAUCUUAUUUGUUAAAAGGGGUUUUAAUUUAUUCUCUUGUAAAAAAGUUUUAUUUUAAUUCUUCAAAAGGUUUUAUUUUUUAUUCGUUUAAAAAUGCCCAAGCUAUUUUUAUAGUUGGGGUUUAUUUUUCAAAGAGCCCAAAAGCAUUUUUUUAUUAUUAUUUUAUUUUUGUUUAAUUCUUCUCGUUUCGUGAGUUUUUCUGUUUAAAAAAACAAAAACGAAGAAGGGAGAGGAGCCCAGGCUAGUGCUGUCGAGCUGGCCCAAGGCCCGCGUGGCCCCUGCCUGCGUGCCUGCCCUAGCGCCCCAGCCGAUCCCCCUAUUUCUCCUCGAUCUCCCCUGUUCCUCUCGUCUCCCCCUUCGCGCGGCCUCCUUCCUCCCCUACCGAGCCCCCUCUGUCCCGAUCCCCAUGGCCUCGCGCAGCCUCUCCCUCAGCCGAUCCCUCUCCUACCCUGCCCGCCUGCGCCUCCGUCAGCGCCGCAGCCGCCGGCGUCCCUCUCCCCUCGCUCGCCGGGGAGCAUCUCCCCUGCCCUAAGCUAGCCCCGUAGGUGCCCGAGCUGCUCGUCGCCGCUCCUCCCUCGCCACGCCGUCGGUGUGCGCCCCCGCGCGCCAGUAGGCCGUUCGCCGCUGGCUUCCCUUCGCCAUAGCCUCGCCUCGUCUCUCGCCUCGCCCCUCGUCCCUCCCGGGCUGCUUCGCCUCGCCGUGGUCUCCUGCAGCGCCACCCCGCCGGUGCUCGCCCCGCCGCCGGCCUCCACUGCUUGCUUCUCGCCGAUGCCCGACCUCGCCUCUUGCCGUGCUCGCCAGUGCGCCACCCUACCACGAUGUGCUUGCCUACCGUGGUGAUGCCGCUGUUGCGUAGCUUGCCGCAUACUGCUCCUCCCGCCGUUCCCCGCCGAGUGCUCGCGAGGUGCUAGUUGUGCUGCCGCGUACCUGUGCUGUAGCUACUCCUGGUGCCUGUAGUUGCUGCUAGGAUGGUGUUGCCCGAUGCUUGCUUGCCUGUUGCUGCCUGCUGUCCCAUUGUCGUUGCUGGUUGCUAUGAGUUGCCAUGCUAGGCUAGUUGCUUUGCUUGCUGCGCUUGCUUGCUUGCCUGCUAGUGCUAGUCGUGUAGCUGCUGCUUGUUGAUGCUAGUAGCUGCUGCUGCUAGGUUGCUAUUGCUGCUAGUUGCGCUGCUGCUAGGUUGCUAUUGCUGCUAGUUGUGUUGCUGCUGGCUGCUACUAGUUGCUGCUAGGUGGCGUAGUCUGCAUAGUUGUUGCUUGCUUGUGCUACCGCUUGCCGUCGUCGCAUGCACCAUCCCCUCCUUCUUGGACCCGACAAGAUCGUCGUGUACAACUACGUCCUCGACGACCCCCGGAACGUGUUCGACUACCGAUGUGAAGAUCGUGAACCGACACCGAAGACCCGAGUACCACGACGUCCACGAUGACAACUAGGACCACUACUUCCACGACGCCCACGAUGAUCUUUGUUCGCCUUCACCGCUACGAUCCGAACCCCUCCGAUAUGCACGCUUUGAAGGUAUACCGUUGGAACGUGUCGUGUACCGAACGCUUAUGAUGUAUGAGAUGAACCGUAUGUUUGCGUUGUAUGUUGCCCAUUGCACUUUGUCUCUCUUUCGUCGCGCCCUCGACACAUGGGAACCCGGUAGCGGGAUCACCCCAUCUUUAUUUAGCGUACCCGCACACGCUUCCAAUACGUUGACACGUUAUCUCGAUGAGUUAUCGGGAUAGGAACGUUGUCGUGGCAUCUUUCCGUCUUGCCGCCAUGCUUCCCUCUCGCUCGCCGUGGCGACACCUGUUUCUUUCUCUUCUUGCCCGUGAUGUUUGAACUUGCAUGCAUGACGCAUUCAUGGCAUAAUUACCUUGUGUUGCAUGUCUCUUGUAACGUAGCUCCGAUCUAUGUUCCGCGUGUUAAUCGACUCGGAGGACAUGUAGAACCAUCGCUUCACCCUUGCCAUGUUAACUACAAUUUAAUAUUGUCGUGUAAAUAACCGGGAGUGAUCUAAAUAAUCAAUCGUGGAAUUUCGUCGAUAUGCAACUCGUUGCAUAUCGAGCUUCACUUAAUGUGUAGUGUUUGCGUGAGGUGAGUUGCCAUGCCAUCCCGUGCAUUUUGAUCUGAUCAUGCAUCAUAUUAGGGUGUGCAUCAUGUCUUGCAUUUGGCGUGGUGAAUAUCUGUGUUGAUGUUUGUUUCCGGUUUGCUCGGUCUCGAUAGAAUUCCACAAGCGUGUCGGAAUGUGAGGCCCGUUCGACUACGUUGGUUCGCCGACUUCAUGGAGUUCUUCUUCCAAGCGGGAUCUCAGGCAAGAUGACCAUUUCCCCAGAUACCAUUACUAUCAUUGCCAUGAUAGUUUUAUCGCUUCUAUCGUUUAUGUCUCAUUGCCUACCACAUGUUUAAUAUCAGCCUCUCAACAAUGCCAUGUUAACCAUCAACCUAUUCGACCUAGCAAACCACUGAUUGGCUAUGUUACUGCUUGCUUAACCAUGUUGUUAGCGUUGCUAGUUGCAGGUGUAGUUGCUUCCAUGUGAUAACAUGGGUCCCUUAUUAUAUUAUCAUAUUUAAUGCUAUUUAAUUUAAAGCACCUAUAUACCUGGUAAAAGGUGGAAGGCUCGGCCUUUCUAGCCUGGUGUUUUGUUCCACCUUUGCCCCCUUAGUUUUCAGUUACCGGUGUUAAGUUCCAUAAAUGAGCGCUCCUAACACGAUCGGGGUUGUUAUGGGGACCCCCUUGAUAAUUUGUUUUAGAUUAAAGCUGGUCUGGCAAGGCCCAACUUUGGUACUACAUUUGCCUAAUAACUAAUGAACUCCAUGGGGAGUAAUUAACCCGAGGAAAUUUAAUCAACCCCCGGGCUAGUGCUCCUCAUGAGUGUUGGUCCAAAACAGAGCAGCUUAUUAACGCUACCCGGGGCAACUCGGCGUUUGGCGUGGUAACCAUCGCUCAUCCGUCGUGUCCUGAGAACGAGAUACGCGGCUCCUAUCGUGAUAGUCGACACGCCGGGCGGCCUUGCUGAAUUAGUUUUACCUUUGAUGGAAUAUCUUGUGCAUCGGGAUUCCGGUGAUGCUUUGGGUAAUCUCAGAGUUGAGGUUUUCCACUAGGGAAUCCGAUGGGAUCGCGAGCUUCGUGAUUGAGGAUUUCUAUGUGGCUUGUGGUAAUUUGUGAUGGACUAGUUGGAGCACCCCUNNNNNNNNNNNNNNNNNNNNNNNNNNNNNNNNNNNNNNNNNNNNNNNNNNNNNNNNNNNNNNNNNNNNNNNNNNNNNNNNNNNNNNNNNNNNNNNNNNNNNNNNNNNNNNNNNNNNNNCUAGUUGGAGCACCCCUACAGGGUUAAAUCUUUUCGGAAACUUUGUUUAACACUGGUUCUAGAUAACUUGAAGUUAACUUAAUUAAAAUAUGCCAACUGUGUGCGUAACCGUGACUGUCUCUUUUGUGAGUUCCUUGUCCGAUCGAGGACACGGUGGGGUUAUGUCUGACGUAGAUAGGUCUUCAGGAUCAUUCAUUUGAUCAACCGUAGUUCACGUUAGCUAUGCGUAGAUCUUGCCCUCUCUUAUUUCUUGUACUCGUAAGUUUAGCCACCAAAUAUAUGCUUAGCCGCUGCUGCAACCUCACCACUUUACCAUGCCUCACCCAUUAAGCUUUGCUAGUCUUGAUACCUUUGGAAAUGAGAUUGUUGAUUUCCCUGUGGCUCACAGAUUACUNNNNNNNNNNNNNNNNNNNNNNNNNNNNNNNNNNNNNNNNNNNNNNNNNNNNNNNNNNNNNNNNNNNNNNNNNNNNNNNNNNNNNNNNNNNNNNNNNNNNNNNNNNNNNNNNNNNNNNNNNNNNNNNNGUGGCUCACAGAUUACUACAACACCAGUUGCAGGUACAGGUAAAGGUUAUUGACGCGAGCGCGUUAAUUGUUCAUUUGGAGUUACUUCUUCUUCUUCUUCAUCAUCGAUCCAGGAUGGGUUCCAGACUGGCAGCCUGGGAUAGCAAGGAUGGACGUCGUUCUUCUUUUCUCGUUCGUUUUUCGUCUGUAGUCGGACCCUGCUCUUAUUCAUGAUGUUGAUGUAUUCUACUGAUGUGACUCCAAUGUAGCUCGUGGUGAGGGUAAGCCAAUUAUAUAUAUAUAUAAAUAUAUAUAUAUAUAUANNNNNNNNNNNNNNNNNNNNNNNNNNNNNNNNNNNNNNNNNNNNNNNNNNNNNNNNNNNNNNNNNNNNNNNNNNNNNNNNNNNNNNNNNNNNNNNNNNNNGAACUUUGUAUUGAAGACCCAAGAGAGAGAAGAAGACAUCUAGUUACUAGCUAUGGACCCGUAGGUCUAUGGUGAACUACUCACGCAUCAUCCGAGAGGUCAUGGUGUUGAUGAAGAAGCCCUCCGUAUCCGAAUCUCCCCUCCGGCAGGGCACCAGAACGUGCCCCAGAUGGGAUCUUGCUGAAACAGAAGCUUGCGGCGGCGAAAAAGUACUUUCGAUCAUCUCCUGAUUUUUUUGGGAUUUUUAGGGAAUUUAUAGGCGCAACCCCUAGGGCAGAGGGCGCCCAGGGGGGCCACAAGCCUGUGGGCCACGACCUCCUCCUGGCCGCGGGGUGGGGGCUUGUGGGGCCCCUGAGGCUCCCCUACCUUGGCUCUCAAGCUUCCCGAUCUUCUUCCGUUCCGGAAAAAUCCUUUCGGGGAUUUUCUUCCGUUUGGACUCUGUUUCAAAAUCUCCUCCGAAAGGGGUCAAAAACAUGGAAAAAAGAGGAACUGGCACUUGGCACUGAGUUAAUAAGUUAGUCCCAAAAAAUAUAUAAAAGGCAUGCAUAACAUCCAAAGUUUGACAAGAUAAUAGCAUGAAACAAUCAAAAAUUAUAGAUACGUUGGAGACGUAUCAAGCAUCCCCAAGCUUAACUCCUGCUCGUCCUCGAGUAGGAAAGUGAUAAAGAAUGAAUUUUGAUGUGGAAUGCUACCUAGCAUAGUUGUCCUUUGCAACUGCUUUCACGUGACAUGAAUGUUCAGAUCCGUAAGAUUCAAAACAAUGGUUUGCUAUUGACAUAAAAACAAUAAUACUUCAAGCAAACUAGCAAGGUAAUCAUGAACUUUCAAAAUAACAAGGCCAAGGAAAGUUAUUCCUACAAAAUUAUAUAGUCUGUCUAUGCUCCAUCAUCCCCACACAACUAAUGUAAAUCAUGCACAACCCCGAUAUUGGCCAAGUAAUUGUUUUCGCACUCUUACUUUCUCAAACUUUUUAUAACUAUCACGCAAUACAUGAGCGCGAGCCAUGGAUAUAACACUAUAGGUGGAAUAGAGUGUGGUGGUGGUUGUGAGACAAAAAGGAGGAGAUGGUCACAUUUACUUGGCAUAUCAAAGGGUUAUGGAGAUGCCCAUUAAUAGAUAUCAAUGUGAAUGAGUAGGGAUUGCCAUACAAGAGAUGCACUAGAGCUAUAAGUAUGUGAAAGCUCAAAAGGAGAACUAGUGGGUGUGCAUCCAACUUGCUUGCUCACGAAGACCUAGGGCAAUUUUGAGGAAGCCCAUCAUUGGAAUAUACAAGACAAGUUAUAUAAUGAAGAUUCCCACUAGCAUAUGGUAGUGACAAAGCAAGAAUCUCUCAAUCAUGAAGAACAUGGUGCUAUUAUGAAGCACAAGUGUGGAAAAAGAUAGUAGCAUUGUCCCUUCUCUCUUUUUCUCUCUUUUCUUUUUUUUCAUUUGAGCUCUUAGGCCUCUCUUUUUUUAUUUUCUUUUCUCCCCCUUUUUUUUGUUUUUGGGAUCAUUGGCCUCUCUUUUUUUAUUCCUCGCAUGGGACAAUGCUCUAAUAAUGAUGAUCAUCACACUUUUAUUUACUCACAGCUCAAAAAUCUAAAUGACGACUCCGUAGGAAAUGCCUCCGGCAGUGUAACAGGAUGUGCAACGAUCUAGCAUGGCGUAUGAAGUUGAAACAUCUCGCUAGCUAUCUUACGAUCAUGCAAUGGAAGUAUGAGAGUGACAGCACAAUUCAUGAGACGGAACGGUGGGAGUUUCAUGGCACUAUAUCUCAGAAUGGCUAUGAAAAUGCCAUAGUAGGUAGGUAUGGUCGCUGUUUUGAGGAAGGAAUUUGGUGGGUUUGAGCACCAGCGAGAAUUGCGCGGUACUAGAGAGGCUAGCAAUGGUGGAAGGUGAAAGUGCAUCUAUACCACAGACUCACAUUAGUCAUGAAGAACUCACAUACUUGUUGCGAAAGUUUUUAUUAGAAAUUGAAACAAAGUGCUAAACGCAUACUCCGAGGGGAAGGGUUGGUAGGUGUAAACCAUCGCGCAAUCCCGACCUCAACACAAAGGAUGACAAUCAAUAGAUCAAUUAUGCUCCGACUUCCUAACAUAGCGGUUCACCAUACGUGCAUGCUACGGGAAUCACUAACUUCAACACAAGUAUUUCUAGAUUCACAACACUCUACUAACAUAACUCUUAAUAUUACCGAAUCGACGUCUCAAAACUAAUUGAGAGGAAUCAAAACUUCUCUUUCUAUUCAAUGCACAUGAAGAUGGAGGUUUUUGCAUCCUCCUUGGAUACCUAUCACCUUUGGGACUACUUUCAUAGCAUAAGCCAACUACCAAGCCACGCACCGCCGUGCUCUAAAAGAUAUAAGUGAAGCACUAGAGCAAAAGUAUCUAGCUCAAAAGAUAUAAGUGAAGCACUAUGAGCAUUCUACCAAAAUCACGAUGACUGCAUGUCUCUCUCUCUCAAAAGGUUUGCAGCAAGGAUGAUUGUGACACAACAAAAAGAAAAGAGUCCUAAGAUACAAGACGCUCCAAGCAAAACACAUAUCAUGUGGUGAAUAAAAAUAUAGCUCCAAGUAAUGUUACCGAUGGAUUGAAGUCGAAAGAGGGGAUGCCUUCCUGGGGCAUCCCCAAGCUUAGGCUUUUUGGUGUCCUUGAAUUUGGAUUGGGAUUCCUUGGGCAUACCCAAGCUUGAGCUCUUUCCACUCCUUAUCUCAUUGUCCAUGAGAACAUCACCCAAAGCUUGAAAACUUCACAACACAAAACUUAAACAGAAACUCGUGAUAACAUUAGCACAAGAAAACAAACUACCACUUCUUUUGGUACUGUAGAAAACUUGAAUUCUAUCUAUAUUGAUGUUGGGCUACUGUAUUCUCACUUUUCCAUGGCUAGUACCUCCUGAUACUAACCAUAGUUUCAUCAAAACAAGCAACCAACUCAACAAAAACAGAACCUGUCAAAAACAGACCAGUCUGUAGCAAUCUGUAUACUUCGUAUACUUCUGGUACCUCAAAAAAUCUGAAAACUUACGAAGGCCUGGGAAAAAAGCAGAUAUACCAUCAGCAAAAAGAAUAAACUCGAAAUCUCUUUCUGAAUAAAAAUGAAAAAUGAUCUCGUGAGAGAAAAUUUUCUGUCUUUUUCCAGCAGGAUCAAAAACCAUUACCAAGACUAGUCAUAAAGGUUUUGCUUGGCUCAAACACAAAAAGAAACACAAAAAACACAAUCACAACAGAAUUAUGAAAGUGUGGACGAAACAAAACAGAAAAAAAAAGAUAAAUUCAUUGGGUUGCCUCCCAACAAGCGCUAUUGUUUAACACCCUUAGGUAGGAAUAAAAGCGAUAGAAUCACGUAUCGUCGUCUUUGGUGCUCAAACCAUAAGUGGCCCUCAUCAUGGAUUCAUAAGGAAAUCUUAUUUUCUUUCUAGGAAAGUGUUCCAUGCCAUUCCUUAAAGGAAAUUAAAAUCUAAUAUUCCCUUCCUUCAUAUCGAUGAUAGCACCGAUAGUCCUUAGGAAAGGUCUAUCAAGAAUAAUAGGGCAUGUAGGAUUGCAAUCAAUGUCAAGCACAAUGAAAUCCACGGGUACAUAGUUCCUAUUUGCAAUAAUAAGAACAUCAUUGAUCCUUCCCAUGGGUUUCUUGACAGUAGAAUCAGCAAGAUACAAAUUAAGAGAACACUCUUCAAUCUCAUUAAAACCCAGAACAUCACAUAAAGACUUUGGAAUCGCAGAAACACUAGCACCCAAAUCACACAAAGCAUUGCAUUCAUAGUUUUUGAUUUUGAUUUUGAUGGUAGGUUCCCACUCAUCAUGAAGCUUUCUAGGGAUAGAGACUUCCAAUUCAAGUUUCUCUUCAAGAUAUUUUAUCAUAGCUUCGACGAUAUGAUGGGUAAAUGCCUUGUUUUGGCUAUAAGCGUGUGGAGAGUUUAACAUGGAUUGCAUCAAAGAAAUGCAUUCAAUCAAGGAGCAACUAUCAUAAUUGAAUUCCUUGAAAUCCACGAUAGUAAUUUCAUUACUACUCAAAGUUUUAACAUCUUCUACUUCACUUUCAAUGCUUUUUAGCAUCAAGAUAGAUGGACUCCGAAUCAUUGGGGCACUUUUCAACCAAAGUGGAUUCAUAUCCAGCCCCAUAAUCAUUAGGUUUGACACGAGAAAACAAAGAUUCAAUGGGAGUCACACCAAGCACUUUAAGAUCUUCAUGAUUCUCAUUACGAGAACACGCCUUUUUAAGCCAUUCAUGUCUAGCACGAAUUUGGGCGGUUCUUUCUUGGAUCUCAUUCAUGGAAACACGCAUGGCUUUCAAAGUUUCAUCCAUGUUGAUUUUGGGAGGAGCACAUCUAACUUUCAAAGCAUCAACAUCACUAGACAUUCUAUCAACGCUCUUAGCCAAAUCGUCAAUUUUGAGUAGCUUUUCCUCUAUGGACGCAUUGAAAAUCUUUUGAGAGUUGAUGAACUCUUUGAUAUUACUCUCUAGAUCAGAGGGUAAUCUAUUGUAAUUUCCAUGAGUAUUUUUGUAGGAGUUGCCAAAGUUACUAGAGGAGUUACUAGGAAAAGCCGUAGGAACAUAGUUUCCUCUAAAAGCAUUGUUGUUGCCAAAGUUAUUCCUACCAACAAAAUUAACGUCCAAGCUAGCGUUGCUACUCUCAAUCAAAGAAGACAAGGGUAUAUCAUUAGGAUCCAAAAGAGCACUUCUACUAGCAACCAAAUUCAUUAACUCAUCCAUCUUAGCACUCAACGAGUUAAUUUCUUCCAUAGCGUGUACCUUCUUACUAGUAGGUGACCUUUCAGUGUGCCACUGAGAGUAGUUUGUCAUGAUGUUGUCUAAGUGCUUUGUGGCUUCCCCUAACGUGAUUUCCAUGAACGUUCCACCUCAGGCAGAGUCCAAGAUAUUUCUAGAAGCGAAAUUCAAGCCAGCGUAAAAGAUUUGAAUAAUCAUCCAAAGACUCAAGCCAUGAGCGGGACAAUUUCUAAUCAUUAAUUUCAUUCUCUCCCAAGAUUGUGCAACAUGUUCAUGAUCAAGUUGCUUGAAAUUCAUGAUAUCAUUACGGAGAGAGAUGAUCUUAGCCGACAGAAAAUACUUGGAUAUAUAAGCAUCUUUGCACUUAUCCCAAGAAUCGAUACUAUUUUUGGGCACAGAAGAAAACCAAGUUUUUGCGCGAUAUCGCAACGCGAAAGGAAAAAGCUUCAAUUUAAUCACGUCAUUAUCCACAUCUUUUUUCUGUUGCAUAUCACAAAGCUCAAUGAAGGUAUUGAGAUGGGAUGCGGCAUCUUCACUAGGAAGGCCAGAGAAUUGCUCUUUCAUAACAAGAUUCAGCAAAGCGGCAUUGAUUUCGUAUGACUCCGCACUAGUGGCAGGAGCAAACGGAGUACUAAUAAAAUCAUUAUUAUUUGUAUUCGAGAAGUCACAAAGUUUUGUGCUUUCGUUCAUGGUGACUUCAGCAAGCAAGCAAGCACACAAGCAAACAAAGAGCAGGCGAGAAAAAAGGGCGAACGAAAAGGCGAACGAAAAAGGCAAACGAAAAGGGCAAAUUGGUGAAGUGGGGGAGAGGAAAACGAGAGGCAACUGGCAAACAAAGUAAAUGCAAGAGGUGAGUUUGUGACACCUACUUGGAUGAGUUCUUGACUUGAUCUUCCUCCCCGACAACGGCGCCAGAAAUCCUUCUGCUACUUCUCAAACAACAGCGCCAGAAAUUGACACAUUGACGGAGACUGGGCUUGCGUUGGUUUUUCCGUUGAAGAGGAAAGGGUGAUGCAACACAGGAGCAGUAAGUAUUUCCCUCAGUUUGAGAACCAAGGUAUCGAUCCAGAAGGAGGGUCUCGUCAAGUCAAGAGUACCUGUGCAAACACAAAAAAGCUUGCACCCAACGCUUCGAAGGGGUUGUCAAUCCCUUCAAGAUUGUUUGCAAAGUGAGAUCUGAAGGCGGAAAGUGCAACGAAGUAAAAAGUGUAAGGCUGAAAAUAUGGUGUGGAGUAGACCCUGGGGGCCAUAGUGUUCACUAGAGGCUUCUCUCAAAAUAGCAAAUAUCACGGUGGGUGAACAAAUUACUGUCGAGCAAUUGAUAGAACCGCGCAAAGUCAUGUCGAUAUCUAUGGCAAUGAUCAUACAUAUAGGCAUCACGUCCGAGAAAAGUAGACCGAUACUUUCUGCAUCUACUACUAUUACUCCACACAUCGACCACUAUCCAGCAUGCAUCUNNNNNNNNNNNNNNNNNNNNNNNNNNNNNNNNNNNNNNNNNNNNNNNNNNNNNNNNNNNNNNNNNNNNNNNNNNNNNNNNNNNNNNNNNNNNNNNNNNNNNNNNNNNNNNNNNNNNNNNNNNNNNNNNNNNNNNNNNNNNNNNNNNNNNNNNNNNNNNNNNNNNNNNNNNNNNNNNNNNNNNNNNNNNNNNNNNNNNNNNNNNNNNNNNNNNNNNNNNNNNNNNNNNNNNNNNNNNNNNNNNNNNNNNNNNNNNNNNNNNNNNNNNNNNNNNNNNNNNNNNNNNNNNNNNNNNNNNNNNNNNNNNNNNNNNNNNNNNNNNNNNNNNNNNNNNNNNNNNNNNNNNNNNNNNNNNNNNNNNNUAGUUGGCCAGACAAAACCCACAACUCGAAGAGAAUUACAAGGAUAUGAAAUCAUGCAUAAGAGAGAUCAGAAGAAACUCAAAUAAGAUUCAUAUAUAAUCUGAUCAUAAAUUCACAAUUCAUCGGAUCUCGACAAACACACCGCAAAAGAAGAUUACAUCGGAUAGAUCUCCAUGAAGAUCAUGGAGAACUUUGUAUUGAAGACCCAAGAGAGAGAAGAAGACAUCUAGUUACUAGCUAUGGACCCGUAGGUCUAUGGUGAACUACUCACGCAUCAUCCGAGAGGUCAUGGUGUUGAUGAAGAAGCCCUCCGUAUCUGAAUCUCCCCUCCGGCAGGGCACCAGAACGUGCCCCAGAUGGGAUCUUGCUGAAACAGAAGCUUGCGGAGGCGAAAAAGUACUUUCGAUGAUCUCCUGAUUUUUUUGGGAUUUUUAGGGAAUUUACAGACGCAACCCCUAGGGCAGAGGGCGCCCAGGGGGCCCACAAGCCUGUGGGCCACGGCCUCCCCCUGGCCGCGGGGUGGGUGCUUGUGGGGACCUUGAGGCUCCCGUGCCUUGGCUCUCAAGCUUCCCGAUCUUCUUCCGUUCCGGAAAAAAUCUUUUCGGGGAUUUUCUUCCGUUGGACUCCGUUUCAAAAUCUCCUCUGAAAGGGGUCAAAAACAUGGAAAAAACAGGAACUCGCACUUGGCACUGAGUUAAUAAGGUAGUCCCAAAAAAUAUAUAAAAGGCAUGCAUAACAUCCAAAGUUUGACAAGAUAAUAGCAUGAAACCAUCAAAAAUUAUAGAUACGUUGGAGACGUAUCACUGUUCCACUACAUCAACCGCGUUUCUUAAUGCUUCCCGCUUAGCAAUCUACAAGGGUAUGUGGAUCCGAUCUCCCUCUCGUAGAUGAACAUGACCAUGAUAGGUCUUUGUGUGCGUAGGAAAUUUUUGUUUCCCAUGCAACGUUUCCCAACAGUGGCAUCAGGAGCUAGGUUCAUGCGUAGAUGUAAUCUCGAGUAGAACACAAAAGUUUUUGUGGAUGUUGAUGUUCGAUUUUCUGCCCUCCUUAGUCUUUUCUCGAUUCGUCGGUAUUGUUGAAUUGAAGCGGCCCGGACCAACAUUACUCGUACGCUUACAAGAGACCGGUUUCAUCGACUAACAUGCAACUUGUUGCAUAAAGAUGACCGGCGGGUGCCCGUUUCUUCAACUUUAGUUGAAUUGGAUUUGACCGAGGCGCUCCUUGGAGAGAGGUUAAAUAGCAAUUUGCACAUCUCCGUUGUGGUUUUGCGUAAGUAAGAUGAGAUCAUACUAGAUACUCAUAGCAGCCACGUAAAACAUGCAACAACAAAUUAUAGGACGUGUUACUUGUUUUUGCAGGGUAUGCACGUGAUGUGAUAUGGCCAAAUACAUGAUAUGAUAUAUCGGAUGUAUGAGAUGGUCAUGUUGUAAUAGUUAAAUAUCGACUGCACAUCGAUGCUAUGGCAACCGACAUGAGCCAUAGGGUUGUCUUUAAACUAACGUUUGUGUUUGCAGAUGCGUUUACUAUAUUGCUAGGUUGUAGAUUUAGUAGUAAUAGCAUAGGUAGCACGACAACCUCGAUAGCGGCACGAUGUUGGAGAUCAUGGUGUGGUGCCGGUGAUGAUGAAGAUCAUGCCGGUGCUUUGGUGAUGGAGAUCAAGAAGCACAAGAUCAUGGCCAUAUCAUGUCACUUAUGAAAUUGCAUGUGAUGUUAAUCCUUUUAUGCACCUUAUCUUGCUUAGAACGACGGUAGCAUUAUAAGGUGAUCCCUCACUAAAAUUUCAAGAUAAAAUUGUGUUCUCCCCGACUGUGCACCGUUGCGACAGUUCGUCAUUUCGAGACACCACGUGAUGAUCGGGUGUGAUAGACUCAACGUUCACAUACAACGGGUGCAAAAUAGUUGCACACACGGAACACUCGGGUUAAACUUGACGAGCCUAGCAUGUGUAGACAUGGCCUCGGAACACAAAAGAUCGAAAGGUCGAGCAUGAAUCAUAUAGUUGAUAUGAUCAACAUGGAGAUGUUCACCACUGAAACUAUACUCAACUCACGUGACGAUCGGACUUGAGUUAGUGGAUUUCGAUCAUGCACCACUCAAAUGACUAGAGGGAUGUCUAUUUGAGUGGGAGUUAUUAGUAAUAUGAUGAGCUAAACUCAAUUAUCAUGAACAUAGUCAAAAGGUCUGUGCAAAUUAUGUUGUAGCUUGCGCUAUAGCUCUACUGUUUUUAGAUAUGUUCCUAGAGAAAAUUUAGUUGAAAGAUGAUAGUAGCAAUUAUGCGGACUGGAUGCGUAAACUGAGGAUUGUCCUCAUUGCUGUGCAGAAGGCUUAUGUCCUUAAUGCACCGCUCAGUGUGCUGAACCUCGAGCAUCGUCUAUGGAUGUUGCGAACAUUUGACAUACACGUUUUUGAUGACUACGUGAUAGUUCAGUGCGUAAUGCUUAACGACUUAGAAUUGGGGCACCGAAGAUGUUUUGAAACGUCACGAACAUAUGAGAUGUUCCAAGAGAUGAAAUUGGGAUUUCAUGCUCGUGCCCUUGUUAAGAGGUAUGAGACCUCCUACAAGAUUCUUUGUCUACAAAGUAAGGGAGAAAAGCUCAAUCGUUGAGCAUGUGCUCAGAUUGUCCGAGUGCUACAAUCGCUUGAAUCGAGUGGGAGUUGAUCUUCCAGAUGAGAUAAUGAUGGUUCUCCAAAGUCACUGCCACCAAGCUACUAGAGCUUCGUGAUGAACUAUAACAUAUCAAGGAUACAUAUGAUGAUCCUUGAGCUAUUCGCAAUGUUUGACACUGCGAAAGUAGAAAUCAAGUAGGAGCAUCAAUUGUUGAUGGUUAGUAAAACCACUAGUUUCAAGAAAGGGCAAGGGUAAAAAGGGAUACUUUAUGAAAUGGCAAAAUAGUUGCUGCUCUAGUGAAGAAACCCAGGGUUGAACCCAAACCCGAGACUAAGUGCUUCUGUUAUGAGGGAAACGGUCACUGAGGCGGAAGUACCCUAGAUACUUGGUAGAUGAGAAGGCUGGCAAUGUUGACAAAAGUAUAUUGGAUAUACCUGAUAUUGAUGUGUACCUUACUAGUAUUCCUGGUAGCACCAGGGUAUUAGAAACCGAUUCAGUUGUUAAGUGUUAGUGACUCGAAGUUAUAGCUAUGGAUUAAAAGGAUACUAGCAAGUGUGAGGUGACGAUGUGUGUUGGAACUAAUUCUAAGGUUGAUGUGAUCAAACAUCGCAUGCUCCCUCUACCAUCGGGAUUGGUGUUAAACCUAAAUAAUUGUUAUUUGGUGUUUGCGUUGAGCAUGAGCAUGAUUGGAUCAUGUUUAUUGCAAUACGAUUAUUCAUUUAAAGAGAAUAAUGGUUGUUCUAUUUGCUUGAAUAAUUACCUUCAAUGGUUUAUUGAAUCUCGAUCGUAGUGCUACACAUGUUCAUAAUAUUGAUGCCAAAAGAUACAAAGUAGUAAUGAUAGCACCACUUACUUGUGGCACUGCCACUUGAGUCAUGUUGGUAUAAAAUGCAUGAAGAAGCUCCAUGCUGAUGGAUCUUUAUACUCACUCAUUUUUGAAACAUUUGAGACAUGCAAACCAUACCUAUUGGUAUGAACGCAUGAAGAAACUCCAUGUAGAUGGAUCGUUUGGACUCACUUGAUUUUGAAUCGCUUGAGACAUGCAAAUCAUACCACAUGGGCAAGAUGACUGAAGGCCUCGUUUUUCCAAUGAGAUGGAACAAGAAAGUGACUUGUUGGAAGUAAUACAUUCUUUAUGUGCAUAGUCCAAUGAGUGCUGAGGCACGCAGUGGAUAUCGUUAUGUUCUUAUUUCACUGUCGAUUUGAGUAGAUAUAGGAGUAUUUACUUGAUGAAUCACAAGUGUGAAAUAUUGAAAAGUUCAAAGCUAUUCCAGAGUGAAGAUCGUCGUGACAAGAGGAUAAACGGUCUACGAUAUGAUCAUAGAGAUGAAUAUUUGAGUUGCGAGUUUUGGUACACAGUUAAGACAAUGUGGAAAUUGUUUCACAAUUCAUGCCACCUAUAACACCAUAGUGUGAUGGUGUGUCCGAAUGACAUAGCCGCGCCCUAUUGGAUAUAGCGCAUACUAUGAUGUCUCUUAUCGAAAUACCACUAUUGUUUUGGGUUAGACAUUAGAGAUAACCGCAUUCACUUUAAAUAGGGCACCGCGUAUUCCGUUGAGAUGACACCGUAUGAACUAUUGUUUGGAGAAACCUAAGUUGUCAUUUCUUAAAGGUUUGGGGCUGCGAUGCUUAUGUGAAAAUUUUCAGCAUGAUAAGCUCGAACCCAAAGCGGAUAAAUGCAUCUUCAUAGGACAUCCAAAACAGUUCGGUAUACCUCCUAUCUCACAUCCGGAAGCAAAGUAUUUGUUUCUGGAAACGGGUUCUUUCUCGAGGAAAAGUUUCUCUCGAAAGAAUUGAGUGGGAGGGUGGUGGAACUUGAUGAGGUUAUUGAACCAUCACUUCAACAAGUGUGUAGCAGGGCGCAGGAAGUUGUUCAUGUGACGCCUAUGCCAAUUGAAGUGGAAACUGAUGAUAGUGAUCAUUAAGCUUCAGAUCAAGUUACUAAAAACCUCGUAGGUCGACAAGGUCGCUUACUGCUACAGAGUAGUGCAGUAACCCUGCCUUGGAGGUCAUGUUGUUGAACAACAAUGAACCUACGAGCUAUGGAGAAGCGAUGGUGGGCCCGGAUUCCGGCAAAUGGCUGGAGGCCAUGAAAUCCGAGAGAGGAUACAUGUAUGAAAACAAAGUGUAGACUUUGGAAGAACUACUUGAUGGUCGUAAAACUAUUAAGUAAAUAUGGAUCUUUAAAAGGAAGACAGACGAUGAUGGUGAAAAGUCACCAUUAAGAAAAGCUCGACUUGUCGCAAAGAUGUUUCCGACAAGUUCAAAGAGUUGACUAUGAUGAGACUUUCUCACUCAUAGCGAUGCUAAAAGUAUGUUGGAAUUAUGUAAGCGGUUGCUACAUUAUUUAUGAAAUAUUGCACAUAGGAUGUCAAAACAUUGUUUCCUCGACGUUUCCUUGAGGAAAGGUUGUAUGUGAUACAACGAGAAGGUUUUGUCGAUCCUAAGGAUGCUAACAAGUAUGCAAGCUCCAGCGAUCCUUCUAUGGACUGGUUCAAGCAUCUCAGAGUUGGAAUAUACGCUUUGAUGAGAUGAUCAAAGCUUUUGGGUUUAUACAAGUUAUAUGAGAAACUUGUAUUUCCAAAGAAGUGAGUGGGAGCACUAUAGAAUUUUUGAUAAGUAUAUGUGGUUGACAUAUUGUUGAUCGGAAGUAAUGUAGAAUUUAUGCAAAGCAUCAAGGGUUGUUUGAAAGGAUUUUUUCAAAGGAAAACCUGGAUAGAGCUACUUAAACAUUGAGCAUCAAGAUCUAUAGAGAUAGAUCAAAAUGCUAAAUAGAACUUUCAAUGAAAUGCAUGCCUUGACAAGUUUUUGAAGGAGUCCAAAAUAGAUCAGCAAAGAAGGAGUUCUUGGCUGUGUUGUAAGGUGUGAAUUUGAGUAAGACUCAAAGCCCGACCACGGGAGAAGAAAGAUAAAGGACGAAGGUAGUCCCCAAUGCCUUAGCCGUAUGCUCUAAAGUAUGCCAUGUUGUGUACCACACGUGAUGUGUGCCUUGCCGUAAGUCUGUCAAGGGGUACAAAGAGUGAUCCAGGAUUGAAUCACUGAACAACGGUCAAAGUUAUCCUUAGUAACUAAUGGACUAAGGAUUUUUUUCUCGAUUAUGGAGGUGGUUAAAGAGUUCAUCGUAAAGUCUUACGUCGAUGCAAGCUUUGACACUAAUCCGAAUAACUCAAAGGAGUAAAGCGGAUUCGUAUAGUGGAGCAGUCAUUUGGAAUAGUUCCAAAUGGCACGUAGUAGCAGCAUCUACAUGAUAACAUAGAGAUUUGUAAAGCACACACAGAUCUGGAAGGUUCACACUCGUUGACUAAAACCUCUCUCACAAGCAAGACGUGAUCAAACCCCAGAACUGUAUGGGUGUUGGAUUUGUUAAAAUCCCAUAGUGAUGUGAACUAGAUUACUGACUCUAGUGCAAGUGGGAGACUAUUGGAAAUAUGCCCUAGAGGCAAUAAUAAAUUAGUUAUUAUUAUAUUUCUUUGUUCAUGAUAAUCGUUUAUUAUCCGUGCUAUAAUUGUAUUGAAUGAAAACAUAAAUGCAUGUGUGGAUAUACUGACAAAACAAUGUCCCUAGUAAGCCUAUAGUUGACUAGCCACUUGAUCAAGGAUGGUUAAGGUUUUCUAACCAUAUGCAAGUGUUGUCACUUGAUGACUGGAUCACGUCAUUGGGAGAAUGAUGUGAUGGACAAGACCCAAACUAUAAACGUUGCAUGUGAUCGUGUCAUUUUGUUGCUAUUGUUUUCUGCGUGUCAAGUAUUCAUUCCUAUGACCAUGAGAUCAUGUAACUCACUGACACCGGAGGAAUACCUUGUGUGUAUCAAACAUCGCAACGUUACUGGGUGACUAUAAAGGUGCUCUACAGGUAUCUCCGAAGGUGUCCGUUGAGUUAGCAUGGAUCAAGACUGGGAUUUGUCACUCCAUGUGAUGGAGAGGUAUCUCGGGGCCCACUCAGUAAUACAACAUCACAUAUAAGCCUUGCAAGCAAUGUGACUCAAGUGUUAGUCAUGGGAUCUUGUAUUACGGAACGAGUAAAGAGACUUGCCGGUAACGAGAUUGAAAUAGGUAUAGGGAUACCGACGAUCAAAUCUCGGGCAAGUAACAUAUCGAAGGACAAAGAGAAUGGUGUACGGGAUUACAUGAAUCCUUGGCACAGAGGUUCAGGUCAUGUCUGCACAAUUCUCGAACCCGAAGGGUCUGCACACUUAAGGUUCGGUGACGUUUUGGUAUAGUUGAGUUAUAGGUAUUGGUGACCGAAGGUCUGUUCGGAGUCCCGAAUGAGAUCACGAAUGUCACGAGGGUUUCCGGAAUGGUCCGGAAACGAACAUUGAUAUAUAGAAUUAAUUUAUUUGGCCUCCGAAAAGAUUUCAGGCAUUACCGGUAGUGUACCGGGAAUGACGAAUGGGUUCCGGGUUUUUAUCGGGAGGGCCCCAUCGAUCAAGUAGAAAGAAAAAAAGGAAAGAAAGAAAAAAGGAAAGAAAGAAAAAAAGGAGGUGGGAAGGAAGGAAGGGACUCCUCCCUCCAAACCGACUUGUAGGAGGAUCCCUCCUCCCUUCGGCGGGCGCCCCAAGGGAAAGCCCUACCCCUUGGCUCCUCCUAUAUAUACUUGAGGUUUAGGGCUUUUGAGACACAAAUUUGCCACGUGCAACCCUAAACCUCUACUUCGUAGUUCUUCCUCUAUAUCGGUUUUCUGCGGAGCUCAAGCGGAGCCCUGCAGGAAUAGAUCAUCACCAUCACCGGCGCGUCUUCACGUUGCCGGAGAACUCAUCUACAUCCCCGUCUCUCUUGCUGGAUCAAGAAGGCGGAGAUCUUCAUCGAGCUGUACGUGUGCUGAAUGCGGAGGUGCCUGAUGUCAACUGUUCUUCCCCUGCAACGACACCAAAAGAAUGCUACUAGCACUCCCCGGCAACGAAACUAGAAGAAUCUUGUUGAUGGCCCACCAGCGCGUGGGUUCGCAACAGUUUUCGAUGGUAGAGUAUUCGACCCAAAUUUGUUGGUACGCCAGACAGGAGGUGAGAGAAUACUCUUGAGUAUUAGCAGCUUAAUUCGUCAGAUUCAACCACACCUGAAAGAUUAGUAUCUGCAAGCAAAGUAGUAACAACAAAGUAGUAUGAUAACAACUGUGUCAGAAACAAUCUGUUGACGGCAGACUAUUCCUAACGAUUGUAUCAAUGGCGCCAAGUUGCCUCGUAGACGGAAAUUAUCAGUUCCCGUCAACGACCAACGAUCAAGACUGUAGCAGGUAGCAGCAGUGUAACGAGUUAUAGCCGUGGCAAGGGACAACAGUAGUGACAGCAGGAGCAAGUAGCAAUAGUAACGAGCGACAGUAGUAGCAACAGUAGCAGCAGAGCAAGACAAGUAACAGCAGCAGAGCAAGACAAGUAACAGCAGCAGCAACAGCAGCAGUAGGACAAACUCNAAGCAUUAAGCAUGGCAAAGUAGUAGCAACAUCAAUCUCAGAACGUAGUGGAUACUAGGGAUCAAUCCCCAUCAAAACUAACUCGAUUACAUGAUAGAUCUUAUCCUACUCAUCAUCGCCCAGCGAUCCUACGAAUAGAUUACUCACGAACGACGAAGAGCUUCAUGGAAUUGGAGAGGGAAGAAGGUUGAUGACGACGAUGGCGACGAUUUCCCCUCUCCGGAGCCCAAGACGGACUCAAGAUCUGCCCUCCAUAUGAAGAACAGGUGGCGACGGCGCCUCCGUAUCGCAAACGCGACGAAAACUUCUUUCUUUUAAUUUUUUCUGGGACGAAAGCGAACUUAUAGUCCUGGAAUUGGGGGCGGCAGAGCCGUGUGGGCCCCACAAGCCUGCCCACCGCCACCAGGGGGGUGGUGGCGGAGCCAGGGCUUGUAGCCCACUGGCCAACCCCCUCAGGUGGAACUUGGCGCAGAUAUUUUUCAUAUUUUCCGUAAAUGAUCUCCGUAAAUUUUCAGCACGUUUGGAGAACUUUGAUUUCUGCACAAAAAAACACCAAGGCAAUCUGCUGAAAACAGCGUCAGUCCAGGUUAGUUCCAUUCAAAUCAUGCAAAUUAGAGUCCAAAACAAGGGCAAAAGAGUUUGGAAAAGUAGAUACGAUGGAGACGUAUCAACUCCCCCAAGCUUAAAACCUUGCUUGUCCUCAAGCAACUCAGUUGACAAACUGAGAGAGAAAGAAAAACUUUGACAAACUCUGUUUGAUCUUGAUGUUGCAACUAUGUCUAACUCAUAACCAGAAUUUCAGCAAGAUCACAAGUUAACCACAUAAGCAAGUGACACGAAGGUCUCAUGGUAAACUAAUAUCAAUGGCAUAAUCAUCUAACGAGCAAAUAAUAAUGAGUUUAAAAUACCAACACUUCAAUCAAAACAAGUCUGAAGCAAUAUGAAUAGGUGGUAUCUCGCUAGCUCUUUCUGUGCCGCAAAACAUAAAUGCAGAGCACUUUCAAAGAUCAAGGGCUGACUAAACAUUGUAAUUCAUAGCAACGAAGAUCCAGUCAUAGUCAUACUCAAUAUCAAUCAAAAGCAAAGCAUAAAAAUGACAGAGGUGCUCUCUAAUUGGUGCUUAUAUAAGAGGAGGAUGACUCGACAGGAAAAUAAAUAGACAGGCCCUUCGCAGAGGGAAGCAUUGAUUUGCAGAGGUGCCACAGCUCAAGCUUUGAAAACAGAGAUAAUAAUUUUGGGUGGCAUGCUUUCAUUGUCAACGCAAUGACCAAGAGUUCUCAAUAUCUUCCAUGCUACUCAUGCUAUAGGCGGUUCCCAAACAGAAAAGUAAAGUUUUAACUCCCCCACCACCAAUCAAUCACACUCCACGGCUAGCCGAAUCCUCGGGUACCGUCCAUACUAACAUCAAUCCGGGGGGAGUCUUGUUUUACAGUUAUGUUCUCGAGUUAAGCGUGGAACUGGGCAUUCCAAUUACUGGCCCCUUUCUCGUGAAUGACAGUGUAUAAACCUUUGUCGAGGAUAACACUCCUAGCAUGGAAGAUACCAAUAGCCCCCUGUCACCACAUGAGCGGUUCGGGCAAGCAAAACAGAUUAUUUCUUGAAGGUUUAGAGAGUGGCACAUGCAAAUUUACUUGGAACGGCAGAUAGAUACCGCAAAUAGGUAGGUAUGGUGGACUCUCAUGGAAAAACUUUUGGGUUUAUGGAAGUGUAUGCACAAGCAGUAUUCCGCUUAGUACAAGUGAAGGCUAGCAAAAUACUGGGAAUCGACCAACUAGAGAGCGACAACAGUCAUCAAGAUGCAAUGAGUUUGACUAACAUUGAAUGCAAGCAUGAACAGGAUAUAAAUCACCAUGAACACGAACAUCAUAGAGGCUAUGUUGAUUUUGUUUCAACUACAUGCAUGAACAUGCGCCAAGUCAAGCCACUUGAAACAUUCAAAGGAGAAUACCAUCCUAUCAUACUACAUCAUAGUCAUCUCAAAAUCUAUGUUGGCAUUCAAGACAAACCAUUAUAAGCUCUCAGCUAAAUAAGCAUGGCAUCAGAAACUAUGAUCUCUAAGUUGUCAUUGUAAACAUGGUUCUCUCACAACAAAGCUGAAUGUGGGUUGACAAGCUAAUCAUAUUUACAAAAACAAAAUGGAUAGAGUUCAUACCAGCUUUUCAGUCUCAGUCACUUCAUCAUAUAUCAUCAUUGUUGCCUUUCAUUUGCACGAUCGAACGACGUGAACAAUAAUAAGAGUGGCCGUGCAUUGGACCAAGCUGAAUCUGCAGGCAAACACAAAGUAGAAGAAAAAGUAAUAUGGCUCUUUUGAAAGCUAAACAGGCAAGCAUGCAAGAACCACUAAGCAUUGGAACCAAUAUCUUCUACCUUGACACAAAGAAAAAGAAAACUAUUUACACGGGAAAGCUCCCAACAAGCAAAAGAAGAAAGAAAAAUCUUUUUGGGUUUUCUCAAAAGGACACAAAACAAGAAAACAAGAAAACCAAAAAAACUAGCAUGGAUAAUACAGUGGCAAAUUGUAAACACCGGCUAUCAAGGUGAAAGCAUAAGCAUGAAUUUAAAGUCGGUGAGAACACGUACUCCCCCAAGCUUAGGCUUUUGGCCUAGCUUGAUCUACUCCCAUGGGUGAUCCUGGCGAAACCCAAAGUCAUAAUGGGUGUUAUACGGGAGUGCUGCAGCCACUGCCUGAAUAGCUUCCUCACGAAGUCGAGCAGUCGUCGCCUCCCUCUCAUACUUAUCUGCCUCUCCUAUGGUUAUGUAGUAUCUUCGUUUUACCUGAAAGUCAAAGAAAGCAGGAGCAGGAAGGGUAGUAUGGAAACACGCUGCCGGUUAAAUAUCAAGCGGUAUAGGAGGGAUCCAUGAUCUCUCUCAAGGAACUGGUAGCGCGUUAGAGCGACACGAUCAAGGUAGGUUGUACGGAGAGGAGGGUCUUCUCGAUGAAUGGAUACUCCAAGAAAAUUUGCUAAGCGUGUAGCAUAAACUCCACCAAAGAAAUCCCCCUCACUAGCAUUUUUAUUUAGCCUCCUUGCUAUUAUAGCUCCCAUAUUGAAGCUCAUGCCACCUGUUACUGCGCUCUUGAGGAUACUAAGGUCGGAAGCACAUAGGUGACAAUGUGCACCCUUGCCGUUAAUGCACCUACCUAUGAAGAGGGCAAGGUAGUGCAAGGCAUGGAAAUGGACGCUUCCUAUGGUGGCUUGUGUGAUAUCUCUGGUUUCUCCAACAGUUAUACUAGAGACAAAGUCUCUGACUAAAGACUUAGAAGGAUCAUUAAUACUACCCCCAUCGGGUAUCUUGCAAAUUCUAUUGAAAUCCUCCAAAUCCACGGUAUAGGAUUUAUCGUACAGAUCAAACAGUAUGGAUGAGUCACGGCCAACUGAGAAUUUAAAUCUACGCACGAAAGAGGCAGUGAGCAUAGCAUACUGUUCACAUUUAUCUGAGAGGAAUUCUUCUAACCCGGCAUUGCGGACAAGUGUGUCAAACUCAUCAUUGAAACCUGCUUCGAUCAUGAACUCAUCGGAAGGCCAUUCACAUGGUUGUACCGGUGCGUCCCUUAGUUGAAAAGUUUCGGGCUCCCGAAAAGAAAGACGGGGACCCUUCUUACUUGAGGAACCACCAUGAAACUUCCUCCUGGACAUAAUUUCCUUUUGCUGAAUUUUUGAAGUUCAAGAGAAAAGUGAAUGAAGACCAACCAUACCUUGUAGCAACUACUCCUACUAGUGCCUAGAGACCGUAUAACGCGCUAAAACUACUUGGGACUAGCUAAAAUCAACAUUUCUAGCUCAAGAACAGGGUCACCAAGGUAGCAAGAAUACGCGAAGGAUAAAGCACUAGAGCAAAAACUCAUUGGACCAAUGGAGGAGUCACUUACCAAGGAGUAAUUUCCCAAAACGGUUCGGAGAAUGUUGCUUUGAGCAAGGAGAUCGAAAAUCACAGCCAAAUGAGCAAGAACACGGGUUUGAGCUGCGAAACAAUUUUUUCUGGAGGUGGAAGAAGAGGCUGGGAGCUGGAAUGAGUGGAGGGGGUCCCUGUGGGCCCCCACAAGCUUGCACUCCGCCCACUGGUCUAGCCCCCAGGCCAGCUCUCAGGCCUAGUAAUUUUAAAAAAUUCCAGAAAAAAUCAUACUAAAUUUUCAGGACCAUCGGAGAACUUUUAUUUUCGUGGUAUUUUUCUCCGGGACGCUAAAACAGAAAACAGGAAAAACUAAACUAAUUCUAUCAUUUUUCUUCUAAGCAACAAAAAAUGAAAGCUUAAAACAGAGGUAUGUGACUCUUUGAUUCAUCCGUUUCAUGGUCAAAGAAAGAAAUACGUCAAUGGGGUUGAUCAAGUCCUCAUGACAAAACCUUCUCGAAUCGCAAGAGAGAACGGAAAAUUUUCUAAUAGCCACUAAGUCACCUCAAUGGGGAUACGUAUCUCCCCAACAAGCAAAUCAUACUUCAUCUUGACUCGAGGAAUAGGGCAUUCAAAGCUCCCAAUAAGAAUCGAUGAAGUCUUUUCGAUAGCAUUGAUGCAAUGUACUUGAUAUAGUUUCUUCGGAAAGUGCACUGUGUGGUCAUUACUGUUGACAUGGAAAGUGACAUUGCCUUUGUUGCAAUCUAUAACAGCCCCUGCAGUGUUUAAAAAGGGUCUUCCGAGGAUGACAGCCAUGGCAUCGUCCUCGGGAAUAUCCAAGAUAACAAAGUCUGUUAAGAUAGUGGUGUUAGCAACCACAACAGGCACAUCCUCGCAAAUGCCGAUAGGGAAAGCAGUUGAUUUGUCGGCCAUUUGCAGAGAAAUUUCAGUGGGUGUCAACUUAUCCAAUUCAAGUCUACGAUAAAGAGAGAGCGGCAUAACACUAACACCGGCUCCAAGGUCACAUAAGGCAGUUCUUACGUAGUUUCCUUUAAUGGAGCAAGGUAUAGUGGGCACUCCGGGAUCACCAAAUUUCUUAGGAGUUCCAUCUUUGAAAGUGUAAUUGGCAAGCAUGGUGGAGAUAUCAAGAUCUGGUAUCUUCCGUUUAUUAGUCACGAUAUCUUUCAUGUACUUGGCAUGCGGAGACAUCUUGAGCAUAUCAGUUAACCGCAUCUGCAGAAAGAUGGGUCUUAUCAUCUCAACGAAGCGCUCAAAAUCCUCAUCAUCCUUUUUCUUGGAUGGCUUAGGAGGGAAGGGCAUAGGUCUCCGAACCCAUGGCUUCCUUUCUUUACCAUGCUUCCUAGCAGUGAAGUCAUUCUUAUCGUAUUUCUUAGGUUGUGGGUUAUCAGGAUUAACCAUAGGUUCAAUCUCCACAUCCUCAUCAUUGCUAGGUUGAGCAUUAUUAUGAACAUCACUGUCCAUAUUGUCACCAGGUUCAUGUUCAUCACGAGAUUGUGUUUCUGCAUCAAACGCAGAAAUAUCAUUAGGUUCUUCCGGUGUGACAGUAUCUGGUGAACUGGCAUGUAGGUUUCUAUCAUCCUUCUUCUUCUCCUUAGGAUGACUGGGUGUAUCAGCAUUGAUUCCUUGAGAAUCUUGAUCAAUUCUCUUAGGGUGGCCUUCAGGAUACAAAGGUUCCUGAGUCAUUUUGCCUCCUCUAGUAAUGACUCUGACAACGUUGUCAUUUAAUUCAUUGAGCUGGUCAUUCUGAGCUUUAAGUACUUGUUCUACCUGAGUAGUAAUCAUAGAGGCAUGUUUACUUAGAAGCUUCAGAUCAUUGACAUUUUUGUCUACACAAGCACUUAAAUGGCUAAGCAUACGAGUACUUUGUUCCAAAUGUGUGCUAACAUAAUCAUUGAAACUCUGUUGUUUGGCAACAAAGUUGUCAAAUUCAUCAAAGCAUAGGCUAGCUGGUUUGUCAAAAGGAAUAUCACUCUCAUCAAACCUACGCAGCGAAUUCACUUCUACUACCUGUAUCGGGUUAUUGAGACCAUGGAUCUCUUCGAUAGGUGGUAGAUUUUUGACAUCUUCAGAUCUAAUGCCUUUCUAUUGCAUAGAUUUCUUGGCUUCUUGCAUAUCUUCAGGACUGAGGAAUAGAAUACCUCUUUUCUUCGGAGUUGUCUUAGGAGGUGGUUCGGGAAUAGUCCAAGCAUUAUCGUUGAUCAAGAUGUUAUUUAGUAGGGUCUCAGCUUGUUCUACAGUUCGUUCCCUAAAAACACAACCGACACAACUAUCUAGGUGGUCUCUAGAGGCAUCGGUAAGCCCGUUAUAGAGGAUAUCAAGUAUCUCGUUCUUCUUAAGAGGGUGAUCACACAAAGCAUUCUGUAGCUGGACGAGCCUCCCCCAAGCUUGUGGAAGACUCUCUUCUUGGAGUUGAGCAAAGUUGUAUAUUUCCUGCAAGGCAGCUUGCUUCUUAUGGGCAGGGAAAUAUUUCUCACAGAAGUAAUAGACCAUCUCCCGGAGACUACUCACACAUCUAGGAGUAAGAGAGGUGAACCAGAUUUUAGCGUCAUCCUUUAGAGAGAAAGGAAACAACUUAAGGAUAUAGUAGUGACGGAUCUUCUCCUCAUUAGUGAAAAGGGUGGCUAUAUCGUGUAGUUUGGCAAGAUGGGCUACGACCGUCUCAGACUCAUAACCGUGAAAAGUAUCAGAUUCGACUAGAGAGAUUAUCUCAGGAUCGACACAGAAUUCAUAAUACUUAUCGGUGAUAAAGAUAGGUGAAGUGGCAAACUUCGGGUCAUAUUUCAUCUUAACUUUCAGAGAUUUUUCCUUCCACUUGAGAAGUAAUUUCUCAGCAUCAUAGGCAUCCUUACACGCAAGAAAAUCCUCAUCUAUCUCUCCCUCCAUAACGUAACCCUCAGGUAUACCAGGCAAUUCAUAUCUAGGAGAGCUAGAUCUAGCAGGAGCAAAAGUAGGUUCUAUGUCAAUAGUAUCGGCAGUUUCAGAAGCAUCACGAGCAUUGGCAGUAACUCUAGCAAUAUGAGCAUCAAGGAACACCCCUAGUGGAACAUCAGGAAAAAUAGCAUCUCUAGCAUCAUCAAGCAUAGUAUCAUCAGGCAUAGCAUCUCUAGCAGUAUCAGGCAUAGCAGUAUCAGGCAUAGUAUCAAGCAUAGCAUCAUCAAGCAUAGUAUCAAGCAUAGUAUCAAGCAUAGCAUCUCUAGCAGUAUUAGGCAUAGGAGUAUCAGGCAUAGCAUCAAGCAUAGUAUCAAGCAUAGUAUCUCUAGCAGUAGCAUCAUAAGCAUCAUCAAGCACCGACGACAUAUCAAGAUUUCUAGCAGGAGGUGGUGUCGCAAACUUACUCAUAACUGAAGGUGAAUCAAGUGCAGAGCUAGAUGGCAAUUCCUUACCUCCCCUCGUAGUUGAGGGCAAGACUUUGGUCUUUGGAUCCUCCAGAUUCUUCAUAGUGAUCAGCAGAUAUAAAUCCCAAGUGACUCAGAGAAUAUAGCAAUACCUCCCCGGCAACGGCGCCAGAAAAAUGCUUGAUGUCAAUUGUUCUUCCCCUGCAACGACACCAAAAGAAUGUUGCUAGCACUCCCCAGCAAGGAAACUAGAAGAAUGUUGUUGAUGGCUCACCAGCGCGUGGGUUCGCAUCAGUUUUCGAGGGUAGAGUAUUCGACCCAAAUUUGUUGGUACGCCAGACAGGAGGUGAGAGAAUACUCUCGAGUAUUAGCAGCUGAAUUCGUCAGAUUCAACCACACCUGAAAGAUUAGUAUCUGCAAGCAAAGUAGUAACAGCAAAGUAGUAUGAUAACAAUCGUGUCAGAAACAAUCUGUUGACUGCAGACUAUUCCUAACGAUUGUAUCAAUUGCGCCAAGUUGCCUCGUGGACGGAAAUUGUCAGUUCCCGUCAACGACCAACGAUCAAGAUUGUAGCAGGUAGCAGCAAUGUAACGAGUAAUAGAAGUGGCAAGGGACAACCGUAGUGACAGCAGUAGCAAGUAGCAAUAGUAACGAGCGACAGUAGUAGCAACAGUAGCAGCAGAGCAAGACAAGUAACAACAGCAGAGCAAGACAAGUAACAACAGAAGCAACAAUAGCAGUAGGACAAACUCNNNNNNNNNNNNNNNNNNNNNNNNNNNNNNNNNNNNNNNNNNNNNNNNNNNNNNNNNNNNNNNNNNNNNNNNNNNNNNNNNNNNNNNNNNNNNNNNNNNNCCACUGUGCUGGAAAGAAUCCAUCCCCAACCAUAGGACCGAUGGUCUCAUCGAGGAAGGAUCCGAAGAAUCUUUGUUCAACGUCGUCAUCGUCACCCUCGAAGCCAAGAUGAUGAACAAAACCUAGACUACGAAGACUAAAAACGGAAUUGUUCACUCCUUUGUACUGUAUACUUUUGCUCUAGUGAUUCCGUGGAGUACAACAUAAGGCUUCGCCGUGUGCUACUGAUUCGAGUGUGAUUGAAGACCUACUGGUGUCCAGGAUUCAGUACUAGUACUACGUGGAAAUCUACUGCUGUCUGGAAAGAAUUGUGCUCGGCUGACUAGCUGAAGCCUGAGUACAAAUUCCGAAGAGAAAAAACACUACGUCCUUCAUGACGGCCUGGAAUUUUUAGUCGAUGCAGAGCAAUGUUACACGCCAGAUGAAGAAAAUUAAUAAAUCGAUUGAAAUACUACUAAACAUUCCUAAAUUUGUACUCAGGGUUCAGCUUGUCGAAAAAUUUAUCCAAACAUGACAAAAAGGAAAUAAAAAUUAACGCUGAACCCAAUAGAUGCACAGCAGUGACGCUUGUUGAUAUAUUAAGAAUGUUCAACAGCGAAACAGGACAGCGUUCAGAUGUCUUGCUCUGUUCGUUACAAUCAUGCAUAGAUGAUAUGUGUAGGAACUAAUCCCGGUGUUACAUCUGUAAUCUUGAGUGUAAAAAUACAUCAACCCAUGCAGGGCAACAGUUCCUGCGUGCAGCAGCGAUGCUUGGCAGGAUCACACAC